AAAAAAAAAAAAAAAAACUUACUUAACACCUAUGCAAAUGAAGGAAAAAAACACCCAACGCAAAAGAAAACAAACAUUUUUUCUGGUUAAUUUUUCGUUCUUCCUGACAAAACGUAAAGAAACUAGACGUGAUACUCACGCAAAAAUUUUGAUAUCUGAGCUAAUAAUGGUUUAGCAAGCUAACUGGUUAACAUAAACGAAAUAAAUAAGAGGAAUUAAGAAAAUCAGGAUUAAUAAUCCUGUAACACCCUCGUGUUUACUCUUCUUUACGGGCUCUUUGGCGGUUUCAAGUUCUGCUUCUGUCUUCUUCUUCUUCGAAGGCUCCUCAGUUUUGGGUUCUUCCUCAUCAUCAGCCUUCUUCUUUUUAUCUUUGUAAUAAACUUCUUCUUCUUCGAAGGCUCCUAAAUCCCCUCCUUCAAGAUUUCUCAAACGCGCUUCCAGCUAUCAGAAAAAUUAGACCAUCAAUGAAGGAAGUAAAAUGUAGAUAGGAUGAGGCAUGAGAAGAAAAAUAUUGAAGAGUACCUUUAAGCGGGUUUCCACUCCCAUUGUGUUGUCUUGUCCAUCACCAAAAGCAUCACACCGUAUAGCAAGAGCAGCUUUUGCAGCUAAUGACCGUGAGAUUUUACCCUUGUGCUCUGGUGCAGCUUGGCUAACCACAGGUGCAUGGUAAAUCAGACCGUGCUUUGGAGUGGCGUGGUUCAUCCUGCGGGCUCUAUAUAGGGCCUUUUCAGCUCCAAGAAUCUGAAUCGUGCUCCCAGGUAGCUUUGCGAGGUUUAAUAGACUACCACAAUGAGAAAUAAGGCGAGCACCGACUAGCUCCCCGACAAGGGCAGUUAGAUUUGGUGCAAUUUUGUUCAUUCUACUCUUCAAGUAGUCAUUAAGCUGAGCUCUGUACUCAGCAAGAGACAGAAUCUGGUCACAGAGUUGUCGGAUGUGAAUCAAAUCAAGGUCAGUGACUUCAGUUCCCAUAGAUAUCACAGCAACCUCUUUAAGUUCUGCUUCAACUUCAUCAGCCAAUAUCUGAGAUGACAUUGGACACAGAAAGAUGUUAUAAAAAGGCCUAACAAAUUAAAGCAAGUCAAAUUUCGGAAACCGGUAAAUAGGGAUUAACCUCGGAGAAGUCUAGAUUUGCAGCAUUAAUCCGAUUCCCCAUUAGUUUAACAGCCUUGGCAUAUAAGAUAUUGUCCUGUACGAUCUUCGCAAGCUCGGGAAAAUGCAAACCGUACAAUUCACGAACCCUCAUAGCGUAAGUGUUACGCUCUUUGUCAAGAUCAUCAAGAAGACCAAUAACUUGGAUUAUCAUGGUCUCCACCUAACAAAAAAUAAAGUAUGAGGGAAAAAGUAAGAUAAGCAAGCGUAAAACAAACACAGAGGAACUCAAUGACUACCUUAUCAGAGGUGAUUUUUAGUUUAUAUCUAGCAAGGAUGUGAGACAAUUCCAGGCUCAUUGGAGCUAAAUCGUUAUCAUCCAAUCCGGAUAAAAGUUCGGUUAACUGGCUUCUCACACCGCGUAAUAGCUCCAUAACAGCGUUGUUGUGAACACAUUGUACGUCCUAGAAGAGAGAAGCAAUUCCGUAAGAAACAAGCCAUAUUCAGAAAUAACAAAAAAAAGGAUCAUAACAGAAACUCCGAACGAAAUACACACCAGUUUCUCAGUGAUAAUAUUUCCAAUAUUUGAAUCAGCCACCGCUAAGGUUUCACCAUCACCACAGUUAUUUUUCAAGAACUUGCGUAGACCUUUGCUUGAAGUUCCCUCUACCAAUUUAGCCACUGCUUCAAGAGCUUCAGAUGUAUUGUCAAACUUAUGAAAAGCUAUUAGCCUAACCAUCUGGAAUAACACACCAAAAUUAUUAGCCAUGAGAAACCUACACUAAAAGUCAUAUUAGCCAGAUACAAAGUUUGAACAGAAAUAAAAAAUCACCCUUCGAGCUGACUCUGCAGACGAGAACUCAUCACCCAAAUCCUACAAGCACAACUUUGACAUACUUAGAAAAUAAAAACAAACGAGACAUAUACAAAGUUUAAGAGCAAUGAAAGUAAGAGAAUGAAUAAAGUAAAUAACCUCAACAUUAGAGAGCUUUCCUUCAUCUAAUACUUUAAAGAGUGCAAAACCACCUGACGUCUCAAACAGUACUAGCAUCUUUACAAGCUAUCUUAAGUCAGUCCCUGAAAAAACACAACAAGAUUAAGAGAAACCCUUAAAUUAACUCAACGUCACAAUCAAAGUCAAUAUAAGUUAGAAUUACCGAAGUUAAUGUUUUGAGAGCUAAUUAAAGCCACUAAGGUACUAAGCAGAAUACAAGUUAAGGCCAAUACUAUGUUCAAAUUCUUCAAAAUCGGACAAAAGAACAGAACUAUACUUUGUCAAAAUCUAGAACUUGAAAGCCACGUUCCACUGACAAAGACGGCGAGAAAGAUUCAGUUAGAGGGUUUACGCACAGCAGCAGCGUUAGAUAGAGAAAAGACAGAAAGCGAGAGAGAAGAAAAAUAGGAGCAACGAAUAUGUUAGGGCUUUAUGGUAUUGAAGAUUCUAAAUCGAUAGAAGAUAAAUAUAUCUUAUAUAAAGUCUAUCGAUAAGAUUUUUACACGUGUAACACAAUGUUUUCCUUUUAUUAAUUUUAGAAUAUAAAAGUAUAAUUGUAAGAAAAUAGAAAUUAAAAUAAUUUAAAAAAUGUAAAAAGAUAAUUUAUAGAAACUAUACAUAUAUAUCUUAUAUAAAAUGAUUUUAAAAAUGCAAAAUAUAAUUAUUAGGAAACUAGAUGUAUCUUAUUAUUUCAAAAUAGAAAUUAUAAAAUUAUUUACUAAUUCGAAUUUAAAUUUUCCAAUUCUAAAAGAAAAAGAGUAUUUUUUUCCUUAAAAUUAAAAAAGAUUUAAGAAAUUAUAUACCUAAUUAAUAAAAAGAGCACUUCGGUGUAUUUCUACCAGAGCUGACCGGAUCGGUCGAUAGGGUUUAUAAAAAAAGAUAAUUAAGGAAAAUAUAUAAUCAAAAAUUUUAAUAAAUUAUGAAAUUAAUAAAUAAAAUACAAUAAUUAAGAAAAUUAUACAAUCAUUUAGUAAUUCUAGAAUAAAAAGGAUUGUAAAAACUAGCUCUAUAUAAACAAGAGAAAUUGUUAAAAAUUCCCCUUUUUCAAUACCUCUUUCAAAAAUGCCCCCUUUGAGAGUCCAUUUUUAAGUUUGCCCUCUUUUAAUUUUUAAUGACCAUUUUACCCUUAUUUGAAACAAAAUUAGGUCCACAAAAUACAAAAUAUUUUUUGGCGGGAAAAGUGAUCCCGCAAUUUUCCCGCCAAAACACUUGUAAAAACCUUUAAAAUACCUUGUAAAAUUUUCCCGUAAAAAUUUUUUCUGCAAAAAAAAAGUGAUUCCGCAAUUUUUUUGGCAAAAUUUUUUUGGUGGGAAAAUUGCGGGAAAAAUUUACAAGGUAUUUUAAAGGUUUUUACAGAGUAUUUACAAGUGUUUUGUAAGGUUUUACAAUGUAUUUUAAAAGGUUUUACAAGGUACUUAUAAGGUUUUAUAAGGUAUUUAUAACUUGUAAAAUCUUAUAAAAUCUUUAAAAUACCUUAUGAAAAACUUGUAAAAUCUUAUAAAAUAGCUUGUAAAAUCUUAUAAUAUCUUAUAAAUACCUUAUAAAUAUGUUGUAAAACCUUUUAAAAUACAUUGUAAAACCUUAUAAAUACCCUGUAAAAAACCUUUAAAAUAACUUGUAAAUUUUUCCUUAUAUAUUUGUGAUAUUUUUAUUAAAAGAAGGGUAAUUUAGUCAUUUUUUACAUAAAAAGGGGUAUUUUUAAAAAUAGACAGCCAAAUGGGGCAUUUUUGAAAAGGGGUAUUGAAAAAGGGGCAUUUUUGUGAGUCUCCCUAUAAACAAAUAGAUAGUCUCAUAUUUUCUCAUCAAACAAAAACAUUUCUUCCAAAGCACUAGUGCUUCAACUUCUAUCUAUUGCUAAGGCUUUUUUUUUUGGGUAAAAAAUCUUUUAUUUUUCUUAAACAAAAACGAAAUAUUACAAUUUUUUUACAUGUUAUUAGUCAGUAAAAUUUGGCAUGUAUUAAGAUUUUUUAAAAAUAAAAUUCAUUUAAUAUAGAUUACCUAAUAAAAAUGACUUUUGAAGUUCCAAAUAACAAUAUAAGUUAUUAACAUUAAUUUAAUUGGAUUAAAAUUGUACUUAUCAUUGUAUAGUGGUUUUAUUAGUUAAAUGAAAACAUAAAUUUUUUGAAAAAGUAAUGAGCUUAUAAGAAUAUAUUUUUUAUUACUUGAUGAGAAUAUUAUUAUAUUUAUACUUCUCUUUUAUUCUAAAAAUUUGAACUAAGUGAAAACACCAAAAUUUGGAAAAAUGGCUUAUAGGAAUUAAUUUUUGAUUACUUGAUAAGAAUGUUAGUUAUGUUUGUUAUUUGUUAAUUAUGUUUGUUAUUUGUUAACUAUGUUAAUAUUAACUAAGAUAUAUAUUUGAUAUGAUAUACAUCUUAUUUUGAUAUAAAUGUUUUUAGCACUUAUCUAUUAAGAUGAAGUGUGUAGAAUUAAAUAUAUCUUCUUAUUUAAAAAUUGGUUUUCAAAAUUAGUAACUCAUAUGAUCGUGACACGUGUCAAGUCUAUCGAUAUGAGUUAACACGUAUAAAAAGAGAAAUUAUAUAAAUAUUAUGUGAUUAUUUGAUUUAACAUUUAUAUUAUUUAUUUUAAUUUCCUUUCCAAUUAGAAUAUGUAAAAGAAAUUUUUUUGAGUCAGCAAGUGUUUAAAAAACUAUGCAAAAGUGAAAGUAACAAUACUUAUAGUUAGCGUAAUGUCUUCACUGAAACAUUUUGUAUGUGAUGGUGGUAAAGAUCAUACUUUCACAGUAACUGUAAUACACAUUUUUAGUAAUAACAUAGAUAAUAAAUUUUUAAAUAAAUGUAAUAAGCGUAAUGUUAUCGCAGUUUAUUCACAAGCCUACCCAUGAGAACUGGCAAGCCGCGAAACGAGUGCUACGGUACUUGGCAGGUACGAUCAUACAUGGAAUUUUUCUUAAUGUCGCAUCUCCGAUGACGCUUCAUGCAUAUUCGGAUGCUGAUUGGGGUGGUGACUCUGACGACUAUGUCUCCACGAAUGGCUACUUCAUUUACCUUGGUCGCAAUGCUAUCUCAUGGUCUUCAAAGAAACAACGCGGCGUGGCUCGGUCCUCUACAGAAGCUGAAUACCGAGCCGUUGCAAACACCGCCUCUAAGGUACAAUGGAUAUGUUCUUUACUCACUGAGAUUAAAAUACCCUUCUCUACUCCGCCGGUUAUCUAUUGUGACAAUAUUGGUGCAACUAAUCUGUGUGCGAAACCGUUCUUCCACUCGCGCAUGAAACACAUUGCUCUUGACUAUCACUUUGUCAGAAAUCUAAUACAAGCCGGCAUGCUACGAGUUUCCCAUGUUUCAACACAUGAUUAGUUGGCUGACACGCUUAUGCAGCCACUUCCACGAUCACAAUUUCAACAAGCGUGCGUCAAGAUUGGAGUUACUCGACUACCUCCAUCUUGAAGUGGCAUAUAAGAGUAUUAUGUAAAUAAUAAGCUAGGGAUCUAAAUGCAAAUUAUGUAAAUUAGUUUUACCCUAAUCCUCUAUUACACUUGUAUAAAUAGUUGUACGUCACCUCUUUUGAUUAAUAAGAUUCUCUUAAUCGUUACAAUUAUUGUUGUUUCUAAAGCAUUUGCUUUUAUUGAUUGUUGAACCGAGAGUUAAACCAACUAAACCAAGAGACUUAAGUUAAUUUAAUCCCAAACCAAUAACGUAAUAACAUGGUAACGUCUUAUGGAUUGUGGGUUUGGCGAAGUGGUGCUUUUGUUUAUUACUGUGGAAUCAUAACUUUUGUUGUGAUAUUGAGAUUGUAAAAUUAGACAAGAUCCACAAAUUUCUUAUAUAAAAUGCUGCUUAUAUAUUUAUAUAGAGACUACACUUUUGUUUGCAUCAUUAUUGAUGAGAAUUAAUAUUAUACAAUGGUUUUUAUGAAACAAAGUCAUAAAAUUCAUAUGAAAAUGUAAAUUCAGCUAAAAUUCAAAACUUAACAAACAUACAUUCAAAAAUAUAUCCUGUGGCGGAGCGCGGGUUUCGCCCUAGUUAAUCAUAAAAGAGAAAGAUGAAAAAGUGAAUUUACACUAUGCUUUCAAACGAAAGCUUUACACGCUAACAGAUUAAUAAAUUCGUUAUUUUCCUUCUCCAUAAUCAAUCUUAAUCCAAUGAGAUCGUCGUUCUUGGCUAUCAUCUCUUGGAUGAAACUCUAUGAGUUUAGAUUGUCCAUGAUACUCAAUGUUUUCUCUUUCAUGUAUUCGUCCAUUCUUUGUAAAGUUGAUUUUCCGGAAUCUCAUAUUCGCCCACCUAGAGACCAUUGGAUAAGGCCAACUUUAACAAAAUCCCAAAAUCUCAACAACUUUGCUACCAUCAUUCUCAGACAUUGCAUACGAUCAUUCAUAGAUCCUCCCAAGAGAUAAAGUCGAGUUUUCAUCACUAUUUUAUUACAAAUCUCAAUUAGAAGAGUAAUAGAUGCAUCUUCAAAACUCAUCUUGAUAUCUUUUGUUGCCCGCCAAUUCUUCAAAUGGUCAAAUUGGAAUUAGAUUCUUCAAUUCUUCAAUUUCUGCACAAACUCGAAUAAAACAAAUCCACAUAGUCGAGAUUUAGGGCAUACGUAUGAUUUUGUACAAAAUAUGAAUUACAUAUAUGAAUUCAAAUAUUUCAUUACUCGAAUUAUGUUCUAGCACAACAAUAUAGUGUAAGUGCAAAUUUAACGUAAUGAAAUAGUGAAGUAUAUAAAAAAAACUUAUAUCCCUUCUUUGGUUUCGAGAAGCCGACGACCUUGCAAAAAGAUCUUUUUCAUUCCAAAUUGAUGUUGGCCGAGCUAAUCUAAAAGAUCAUCUUCUGCCAAGAUGGACAUACAAAUAUGAUAAAUUGAUGAAAGUAACUCAAACUCUGGGUUAUCUGAGUAAGUUCAUUGAUGAUUGGUUGCUACAUCAUAUAACAUAGCUCUUAUGUAUAUUUAAGCAUUUACAAUCACUUAUAUUACAUUUAUUUUGUAGAUACGUGGAGCACAAAUUGCGGUCUCUCCAUCCCUAGAUUAGUUGUGGUCCGCAAGAUUUGACAAAGAAGAACUAUGAUGUUGUGGGAUGUUUUCAGUUUUUUUUUUUGGUAUUUAGUUUUGUUGUUUUCAGCUUUUAUGCAGAUAUGUAGUUAUAAUGUUUUUAAUAUUAUUUGAUUAAUCAUGCAAUAUUUAUGUGUGGAGUUUUCACGUAAUGCGACUAUGGUAACUACAAUUUGCUAGAGUGUGCUUGUGUCAUAUGAUUCGGCGACGCAAAAGAUGAGGAAGUUCUUCCGUGUUCGCAGCUAUUGAUGCUACUACCGAAGGUUACGUGACAUUCUCAACAUCAAGAUUAGCAUAAUGCCCUGGUCCAAACAAAUGCUUUUAAAAAAAUUACCUAGAAAGCUACUAUCGUGAAGAGUAAAACCAAGUCACAAUAGUAGCUGUAAAAGAACAUUAUUAUCUCAAGGUUUUUGAGCUUUUUUCGGUACACUUAACCGUUAUUUCAUACCAAAAAAAACCCACGAAUUUCUCUCACAAACACAAAUAUGAAGUUCCUUUGAGUGGAAAAAAGAUAGUCCAAAAGCUUGGAUAAGCCUAUCUUGGAUUAUAAAUUAAACACAUUUGACAAUCAUCCAAGACUUCAACUCCUACAACUAGAUACUACAUACAUACAUAAAAAAAAAAACGGGUAUUCUAGUAGUGGUGGAGACACAUGAAACACUGGUGAUCAGUUGACACUCAUGACUUUUAAAAAAUUGUUUAGGUUUUGUUAUUUUUUAAACUUUACCUCCGUUCCAAAAUAUUGACCCCCAUCAAAUAUUUAUCCAAAUAUAACCCAUUAAAAAUUUUAAAUUACCACACUAGGCCAAUUAAUUAUAUAUAUAUAAGAUGCCCAUUAAACUUUGUCAUUAUUUUUUAACACAAAAUCUAAUUACCUUAGUUUUAUAGUUUACUUAACCAUUUUCAUAUGUUAUAUUUUAUGUCAUUAAAAUCAAGCUGAAAAAAAAAAUUAAAGUAGGUAAAAGAUAACAUCCUUUUGAAUUUGUUACAUUAAUUAUUUUUUGAACAAAAAAAAAUCACUUAUCAAUUUCAUUAAGACGAACAUUCGUGAUGGUAUUUUUAUUUUUUUUCAAUUAUUUUUUGCAUUUUUCUUAUACAAAAAUUAUAACUCCCGUGACUAAAAAUUCUGUCACCGCCACUGUAGUAUAGCACUCGGGAAACGUUAUCUAACAAUAAAAUAGCAUUUAAAAAAAGAGCUAUAAAGUUGAGCAAACCAAUAGAUAUACAUUCGUUCAAUCAUUUCUCUAUAGGAUGUUCUCAAUUAAUACAUAUGACAACAAAUUAGACCUAAUUAUACACUACUGCUACACACACACGCUUGUGUAUAUGAUCUUAAUUUCAUCCUAAAUUAGACAUUUUUAUGUUGAUAUAUGAACCUAACUACUUCGAAAUGACAAUGACUAAUUAGCUACUCCCAUCCUAAACAUCACCUUCUUUAUAAAUACAAACCCUUUUAUUUUUGACAAAUAAACCAUAUCUAAAGAUGUCGCCAUUUUUAUUUCUUCUUGUUUUAUAUAUACAAGCUUAUCCACUAUAAAUCUUAUUUGGUUGAGUGUCAAAUGAAUCAUGAACUAAAUUGAUUGGAUUAACAUAAAUAGUUAAAAUCUACUAUAAAGUCGUUGCUUUUUUUAUCAAAGAUUAUGUGUUUACAGAUAGAAGUCUUCCGUAAAGAGACGUCUCAAUCUCAUUGUUUUUCACCUCUGCAAACAAAUCUCAUUCUUUUUUAGAUUUCAUAGGAGGCUCCAAGUACUCGUACACUUUCUCAUUUUCAGAGAGGAGGAGAAGAUUGAUUUUGCUAUAGGCGGGGACUAUAAUACACUUCACCCUCUGAAUCUCAAACGAGAAAAUAGUAUUAUUACGAUCAUCUUCUAUUGAUUUCUUUGGCCAGUGAUCAUAUAAGCCAUCAAAGUAUCUAUUCAUAGCAUAAUGGAGACUUUCAUUCCAAUCGGAAUGUUUCAGAUAGCCAGAGCUACUCCGUUCAAGCGAUGAUAAGAUAACCUCCUUGGCAAUUUCCAAAACUUUGUAAAAAGUUUCGAUGGCUUGUGGUUUUACCUUUGCUUUGGCUUCUUCUCCUUCUCUCAUCUUCUUCAAUGCUUCAGCAUCUUCAUCUUCUACCAUCUUCUUCAAUAUAUAUAUAAACAAAAAGAGGCCCAUUAACCUUUGUUAUUAUUUUUAACACAAAAUCUAAUUACCUUAGUUUUAUAGUUUACUUAACCAUUUUUCAUCUGUUGUUUUUUAUGUCAUUGAUACUUACUCUUCAUAUGUAGAGAAAACAUUUACAGUAAAGUUGAUCAAGUCGAAAUUCUUAUACAAUAAUUCUAAAGAGGACCACUAAGUACUGUAGUAUUUUAAUCUUUGAUCAACUAUAUUCCAAUUACACUAAUAGUAACUAUAGAUAUGACUCCAAAUGGAUGACAUAUAGUUGAAUGAUUGGAAAAUUUUGAGUUGAACAAAAAAAGUUGAACAUCAUUCAACUCAUUUCACUCCAAAAUAGUAGAUGAAAGGGUUUAACAAUUUUCCUUUAUAAUUUGUUCAUUUUCGCUCCAAAUGGAUGACAUAUAGUUGAAUAAUUAGAAAACUUUGAGUUGAACAAAAAAAAUUGAACAUCAUUCAACUCAUUCCUCUCCAAAAUAGUUGAUGAUUGGGUUGAACAAUUUUCCUUUAUAAUUUGUUCAUUUUUUCAAUUUUUUUGGUUGAAUGGGUUGAAUCAAUUUUCUAACUUAUUCAUCUCAAAUGGUAAAGAAUGAGAUGAAUGAGCAUUCAACUCUUUCAACUUCUUAUUUUAAGACAACCAUUGGCAUCCAAUUUUUCAAUUUUUUUUGUUGAAUGGGUUGAAUCAAUUUUCCAACUUAUCCAUCUCAAAUGGUAAAAAAAAUGAGAUGAAUGAUCAUUCAACUCUUUCAACCUUUUAUUUUAGAGCAAAAAAUAAAACCAACCAUUGGAAAUGAAGUUAUUACAACAUCAUUUUGUGAAAACAAAACUAAUCAAUACAAUAAAAACAACAAGAGUCUCUCAAGCGAUGACACAUCAGCUUUUUGAGUUGUCUCGGAGUGACACAUCGUUAAAAUUUUAAUCCUUUCAAAACAUUUCAAUUAAUACACAACAGCUCUCCAACUUGCCACAUCAUCUCUCCAGCUUGUCAUAUCAGCAUUUUUAUUAAAAAAAAAUCUUUAAAAAAGACAACCAAUCAAAUUAAAACAAAUAAUACACACAACUAUUUUAAUAUUUAGGAUAAUGACAUAUAGAUUUCUCAUUUGUUUCAUAAUUCAAUAUUAAAAAAGUAAAAUAAAAGAAUAUAUUUUUAAAAAGUUAUGUGACGUCAAAUAGGUUUUAGAGAACAACAUGUAUGAAGUGAAUUUAACAAGUGGUUUACGCUAUAUGUAGUUUUUGUAAAUUAAUUUUGUUUUAAUAAAAAUAUUUAUGGUAAAAAACUAAAAGCUUUUUCAGAUUUUGUAUUUUACAGUUGGUCGUUUUUUAUUUUAAUAUUUUAUAUAUACAUAUAUUAAUAAAUAAUUUUAUAUCUUAUUUUUAAAGAAAUAUACGAUAUAGUUCAUCUUUGUAGUUGUUUGUUUUUGUUUUCUGUUUUUAGUAUGUUUAACUUUUUACAAAUGUUAUAUUGUUUUAAAAUUGUGAUAUAUAUAAAUACUUUUCAGCAAUUAUUAUACUUCAAAAAUUUAGAUUCUUUAAUUAUGUUAAAAUUGUUUGUGGUAAACAAGCAUAAUUUGAAUCAUACUUUAAUAUUUAAUAUGUCUUCUUCUAUUUUUAAAUUCUUUUUUACUAUUAUAUCACAAUAAUUUGUCAUGUAAUUUUUGUAACUUGUGUUCAAUUAACUUUAUUUAAUAAGUUUCAUCGAAAUAAUAUAUUCUCAUAUAAAAACCAUAUAUGAAUUUAAAUCCUAACUUUUAUAAUAUUUCUCAAGAGAGAUUGAUGUCUCUCGUGGUCGAGAGACUGACUGAUUCAAAUAAUAAAGUCAAUGUAACAAACUUUUAUUAUUUUUAAGAACAAAAAUGAAAGGCAUGUUGUCAAGCUCUUAGACAAGUAAACAUAUCCUCUUUCUUUUUUAUUUUUGUUGCAAUUAUUUUGCUUUGGUUUGGAUAAAACAAUAAAAGAAAAUUCAAAAAAUAUAACCCGCAGCGUAGCGCGGGUUUCGACCUAGUAAUCUUUAAACUUCUUAGACCAAUAUAGGACGUCUUGACACUGAUUUGCUAUGGAUAUAUCAAUAGAUAGUCCAUAACUAUGUUGAUGAGCACUUCACAAUCACUUUCAAAAAUUACCGGGGUACCACAAAGGUAAAAGUUAAUAUUGACUGUCAAAUAAAAUGCGUUAUUGCUGGAGACUGGAGUAAUAAACAAAAACACUAAAUUAACCUUUACUAGAUUAGAAGAUCGUUUAGCAGAAAUGCAAGUUUUAGGGAAAAGGACUAAACCACACAUACCCUUACAAAACGAAGAACAGUUCCUUUUUCAAGUUUCAGACAAAAAAAAAAACCUUACUUAACACCUAAUGCAAAAGUAACGCAACAAAAGCUUUUCUUUGUUUCUGAUAACAAAGUAGAGAAACUAGACCACGCAAAAUUUUUAAAACUCUCCUCAGACCUCAGUUUUCUUCUUCUUCUUCUCACUCCUUUCCUUCUUCUUAACAGGCAUUUCGGUUUCCUCUUCUUCGUGUUUUCUCUUCUUUUUCUCUUUCUUUGUAGGCUCUUCGGCGGUUUCAGGUUCUGCUUCUGUUUUCUUCUUCUUCGACUUCUUCUUCGAAGGCUCCUCAGUUUUGGGUUCUUCCUCAUCAUCAGCCUUCUUCUUCUUCUUCUUUUUGUCUUUCUUUUCUUUGACACCGUUCUCUGAAUCCACUGUGGGAGUUUGAAGAAGAGAGUCUGCAGCUGUGUUGUAAGUCUGCAGAAAACAACAACAAGAAACAGCUUAAUCCACAAUUCAGAAGUUUCUCGAACAUUAUUACAAAAGAAAGUUGAAAAAACAAAUUAGCAGAUGAAUAAUCUGACCUUAGCAGGAGUGAUCAGACCUCCGGAUCCUUUCUUUUUAUCUUUGUCAUAAACUUCAAUCUUUGGUUUGCCUUUAGCUGAGCCAGACAGACGUCCUAAAUCUUUUCCUUCGAGAGUUCUCAACCGUGCUUCAAGCUGUCAGAAGAAUACAGACCACAUGAUAAACAUCAAUGAAGGAAGAAAAAUUAGAUCAGAGAGGAAGAGGAAGAGGAAAAAUAUUGAAUGGUACCUUUAAGCGGUUUUCCACUCCCAUAGUGUUGUCUUGGCCAUAACCAAGGGCAUCACAACGGACAGCAAGAGCAACUUUUGCAGCUAAUGACCGUGAAAUUUUACCCUUGUUCUUUGGUGUAGCUUGGCACACCACAGAUGCGUGGUAAAUUAGACCGUACUUUGGAGUGGCGUGCUUGGUCUUAAGGGCUCUAAAUAAGGCUUUUUCAGCUCCAAGAAUCUGAACCGUGCUUCCAGGUUGUUUUGAGAGGUUCAACAAACUACCACCAUGAGAUAUUAAGCGAGCACCGACUAGCUCCCCGACAAGGGCACUAAGAUUUGGUGCAAUUGUGUUCAUUCUGCUCUUCAAGUAGUCAAAAAGCUGAGCUCUGUACUCAGCAAGAGAAAGAACCUGGUCACAGAGUUCUCGGAUGUGUAAUAAAUCGAGGUCACUGACUUCAGUUCCCAUAGAUAUCACAGCAGCCUCUUUCAGUUCUGCUUCAACUUCAUCAGCCAAUAUCUGAGAUGAGGUUGGACACAGAAACAAUGUUUCAAAAAGACAUAACAAGUUUUGAGCACAAGGAAGUCAAAUCCUCAAACAGGGCUUUACCUCAGAGAAGUCUAGCUUUGCAGCAUUAACCCGAUUCCCCAUAAGUUUAACAGCCUUGGCAUAUAAGAUAUUGUCCUGUACGAUCUUAGCAAGCUCAGGAAAAUGCCAACCAUACCAUUCACGAACCCUCAUAGCGUACGUGUUGAGCUCUUUGUCAAGAUCAUCAAGCAGACCAAUAGCUUGGAUUAUCAUAGUAUCCACCUAACAAAAAACUAAAUUAUAAGGAGAUACAAGAGAAAAUGCAGAGAAACUCAAUGACGAUUCAAUAAAUACAAAAAGGCAUGCCAAAAUUUCCAUGAUAUAUUUAGCUAACUCAACAAUCAUAAUUCAGAGAACUAAAUAGAAAAAAACAUAAAUCAAAUGACUACCUUGUCGGUACUGAACUUUAGUUUAUAUCUGGCAAGGCUGUGAGACAACCCCAAGCUCAUUGGAGCUAGAUCUUUAUCUCCCAAUCCAGAUAUAAGUUCACUUAGCUGGCUUCUAACACCUCGUAACAGCUCCAUAACAGCAUUGUUGUGAACACAGUCUAUUUUCUACAAGAGUGAAACACAUCUGUAAGAAACAACCCAUAUUCAGAAACAAAGGAGCGUAUCGGAACAAAACACACACCAGUUUCUCCUUGAUGAUAUUUCCAAGCUUAGAAUCAGCAACAGCCAAGGUUUCACCAACACAGUUAGCCUUCAAGAACUUGCGUAGACCCUUGCUUGGAGUUCCCUCAAGCAAUUUAGCCACUGCUUCAAGAGCUUCAGCUGUGUUGUCAAACUUGUCAAAAGCUACUAGCUUAACCAUCUGUAACAACACCAAAAAAAGAACUAUGAGAAACAAAUUAUUACCCAAAAACAAAAUUUGAAAUAUGUCUAGAACAAAAGAAAUCACCUUUCGGGCUGACUUUGCGGUCAAGAACUCAUUACCAAUAUCCUACAACCACAAAUUUGACAAUACUUAGAAUUAAAAAAACACACACUCAGAGACGAGGUUAAGAUAAAUGAAACUAAGAGAAUGAUUAAAAGUAAUAACCUCAACAUUAGAGAGCUUUCCUUCAUCUAAUACUUUAAAGAUUGCAAAACCACCUGGCGUCUCAAACAGUAUGUGCAUUUUCACAAGCUCUCAAAUCAGUACCUGAACAAAAAUACAAGAUUAAGAGAAACCAUUAAAAGUCACCAACACUACAAAAAUUUAUCUUUUUGGGAGCUAAAGCCACUAAGCUAAUAAAAACAAUAUUCAAGAAAAAAAAAAUUACCAGUUUUGAAGUCUACAAAUCAUAAACUCAAUGAAAAAACAAGAAGACAGAAUACAAGUUAAGACCAACACUCUGUUCAAAAUCCGACAAAAGAACAGAACUAUAACUUGGAAGCUUCGUUGCAGUAAUAACGAAGAGAGAGAGGUCGAGAAAGAUUCAGUACCUCAAAGGGUUUACGCACAGCUGCAGCGUUAGAGAGAGCUAAAAUCAGGAGCCGCGAGUUUGCUAGGGUUUAAGAUACUUUUUAUAGUUGUUGAAGAAGAUUCUCAAAACGCUGCGUUUUUAUUGCGAACGGCGCGUUUUCGUAACUUUGUUACCUAGGGUUUUAAAAUUGCACCGCUGUUUUGUUUCUAAAAACCAUAUUUUGGGCCUAAUUAAACUCGGCCCAUUACUAUAAAUGGGCACCGUACGAUUGAAUCUUGCCUUCAAUCUCUGAAAACAAAAAAUGUGAUCGUUAAAAACGAAACCUUGAAAUGGAAUCUUCAAAGUUGUUAUCUUUAUUGCGAGAAUGUACCAAUACCAAGUCUCUAAGACAAGCCAAGCUUGUUCACCAGAGAAUACUCACGGUGGGGUUACGUAGCGACGUCGUUUUAUGCAAAAGUCUCAUCAAUGUCUACUUCGCUUGUAAAGACCAUUGCUCUGCAAGACUCGUCUUCGAAAACAUCGAUAUACGGUCGGAUGUUUACAUCUGGAACUCUCUAGUGUCUGGUUAUUCAAAGAACUCAAUGUUUCAUGACACUCUUAAGGUUUUCAAGAGGUUGUUGAAUUGCCCAAUUUGCGUCCCUGAUUCGUUUACUUACCCGAAUGUGAUUAAGGCUUAUGGUGCGUUAGGUAGAGAGUUUCUUGGUAGGAUGAUUCAUACUGUUGUAGUGAAAAGUGGGCAUGUUUGUGAUGUUGUUGUGGCGAGUUCUUUGGUUGGUAUGUAUGCAAAGUUUAACUUGUUUGAGGAUUCAGUACAAGUGUUCGAUGAAAUGCCUGAGAGAGAUGUUGCGUCUUGGAACACGGUUAUUUCAAGCUUUUAUCAACGCGGGGAUGCUGAGAAGGCUUUGGAGUUAUUUGGAAGAAUGGAAAGGUCUGACUUUGAACCAAAUUCAGUUUCAAUUACGGUAGCUAUAUCGGCGUGCUCGAGGCUGUUGUGUUUGGAGAGAGGGAAGGAGAUCCAUAGAAAGUAUUUGAAGAAAGAGUUUGAGUUAGAUGAGUAUGUAAACUCUGCCCUUGUUGAUAUGUAUGGGAGAUGUGACUUCUUGGAGAUGGCUAGAGAGGUUUUUCAGCAAAUGCGUAGAAAGAGUUUGGUUGCUUGGAAUUCUAUGAUUAGAGGUUAUGUCGCUAGAGGAGAUAGUAAGUCAUGUGUUGAGCUUUUGAAUAGAAUGAUUAUAGAAGGAACUCGACCGAGUCAGACAACCUUGACCAGUAUUUUGAUGGCUUGCUCUCGCUCACGGAAUCUAUUACAUGGAAAAUUUGUUCACGGUUAUGUGAUUAGGAGUGUUGUUGAUGCAGAUAUCUAUAUAAACUGUUCUCUGAUUGAUCUUUACUUCAAGUGUGGUGAAGUUAAGUUGGCUGAAACCGUCUUUUUAAAGACACAGAAAGACGUUGUUGAGUCAUGGAAUGUUAUGAUCUCUGGUUAUGUCAGUGUAGGUAAUUGGUUUAAGGCUGUUGACGUGUAUGACCAAAUGGUGAGUGUUGGAGUGCAGCCAGAUAUAGUAACUUUCACAAGUGUUUUAUCUACUUGUUCGCAACUGGCUGCGUUAGAGAAAGGCAAACAGAUUCAUUUGUCCAUUAGCGAGAGCAGGCUCGAAACAGACGAGUUGCUGUUGAGUGCGCUCCUUGACAUGUAUUCUAAAUGCGGUAAUGUAAAAGAGGCUUCUAGAAUUUUCAACAGUAUACCAAAGAAAGAUGUUGUGUCAUGGACAGUAAUGAUCUCUGCGUAUGGAUCUCAUGGUCAACCCAGAGAAGCGCUCUACCAUUUUGAUGAAAUGCAGAAGUUUGGUGUAAAACCUGAUGGGGUUACUUUUCUUGCUGUAUUGUCAGCUUGUGGUCAUGCUGGGUUAAUUGAUGAAGGUGUCAAGUAUUUCAGUCAAAUGAGAUCCAAGUAUGGAAUCGAGGCUAGUAUUGAACAGUACUCGUGCUUGAUUGACAUCCUUGGCCGAGCAGGUCGGUUGCUUGAAGCUUAUGGAAUUCUUCAACAAAAACCAGAGACAAGAGACAAUGCAGAGCUUCUCAGUACUCUCUUCUGUGCUUGUUGCUUGCAUCGGGAUCAUUUGUUGGGAUAUACAAUCGCAAAAUUACUUGUGGAGAAAUAUCCAGAUGAUGCAUCAACCUACACUGUCUUGUUCAAUUUGUAUGCUUCUGGCGAGUCAUGGGAUGCAGCAAAGCGAGUCAGAUUGAAAAUGAAAGAAGUGGGAAUGAGGAAAAAACCGGGCUGCAGUUGGAUUGAGAUGAAUGAAAAAGUGUGCCAUUUCUUUGCUGAGGAUAGGUCUCAUCCACAAGCUGAGAAUGUUUAUGAAUGUCUUGCUCUUUUAAGUGGUCACAUGGAAGCUGGUCAAUGAUUCUUAUCUGUCCCAAGAAGACAACAUCUCAGGCUAAUGUCCAAGUUACACAAAUGGUGGAUUCGGUGCAAAGUCAUGCACUCAAGAACCGUUUCAAGCUUUUAUAUAAGGUUGCUUAUUUUUAGGAAACCAUCAAGAAGCAUGUUCCACAGUCAAGUCUUUCAAAGCUUAACCUAAACUCAAAGGCUAUCAACAUCAUCUACCUAAUCUGACCCUUAUCGAUUGCUCCUCAUUCGUGCUGCUUCUCGUGGUUCAGGACUCCAAGAACAUGACUAUCUCCAACGUAAAACCUGACUAAAGAGUCAGUUACAAGCCGAGUUCUUUGCCCAACAAGGAACGAGCAAUGACGUUUUGGCCUUCCAUGCACCGAAGAUCCCACCAUGGAUCCUUGAUACUUGUCCGGGAGUAACCUGUAAGCAUAGAGGAUAUACUAGAAGUAUUUAGUUUCAUCACGACCAUAAUAAAAUUUGAAUCGUUUAUGGUGUUGUGUUGUAAUUAAAAAUAUAUAUUUCAUAUUAAGUAUAAAGAUAUUUUGUAUAUAUAUUUAAUGCAUUGAUUAUUAUAAUUAAUUGGUUUUUUCAAUUUCAAAACUAAUUAAAAGUGAAAUAAAAAUAGUUAAGUAAGAUCUUACAAAUGUUUUUGCCAAAAUCAAAACCGUUAGAUCUUAUAUCUUCUAUUUAUUAAAAAGAAACAUUGCGCGUUUUUGUUUACGGGUUAUUACGAAAAAUAUUUUUUCAGAAUUUUAAUUACAAAAAUUAACAACAUAUUACACACACGCGCAAAAAAAAAAAACUUUAGAAUAAAGAGUAUGUAAAAUUUCUAUAUUUUUUAACCAUGCAAAAACGAUUUUGAUUUUAGCAAAAACUUUAUAUUUUAUUACGAUGUAAACUUUAGAGUAAAGAAUCAUAUACUCGCUGAUAAAAAACAAAAAAGUCAUAUACUCAAUUUUCUCUAUUAAAAAUAAUAAAACUUAUUUUUAUUUCACUUUUAAUUUUGUUAUUGAAAAAAAAAAUAACUAAUUGUAGGAAUCAUACAAAAUAUCUUUAUAUUAAAUAUAGAAUGUGUUUUUCCAUUAUGCAACACCAUAAAUAAUUCAAUUGAAUAAAUUUUUUUCAAUACUAAACUAAAUAAAAUUAAUUUUUUUGAAUUAUUUUGUUGGACAACGCCGGAUUUCAAUGAACGGUGUACCGGAAUAAGAUAGUUGUGAAGUUGACCGUAUAUCGUCAUAUAGUUUGUAUAUGUGGGCAUGCGAUACAUUUAGUUUGUGUACUUGACUAUACAAUUUUAAACUUAGUAUGUGUGGUUAUGCAUUCUGCAAUAAUUCGUGUAGUUAGCAAUUUUUUCCUAAAACAAAAUCCUAAAUAAACGAUGAUUUUAAAUCCCAUAAGAUAUAUAUAUAUAUAUAUAUAUAAUCUCCCACGUGUAAAGAGAAAAACACAAAAAAAAAAAUCAGAAUGGUAUUUCUAAACACAUUCUGACUUGCUCGUUGGGAUCAAGUAAAAAGAAAUUUGGAAAUUGACAUACAAGAUUCUAUGAUUUAUAUUGCACGAGAAAUGGACCAAAUCCUCCCGCAGACAUUCGAGAGAAAUUGGCCGAGCUAUUGUGGAGCUUAUCUCAUCGCUAACCUUACUGGAAGUGUCAAACCUUGAAGAUCUCCAAGGCCGUUGGGAAGAAACUCGACCUAGAUAGUUUGUUUUUUCAAUUUUCUUUCAAUCUCAUUUUAAGCUCUCUGUUUUUUUUGUGUGUGUGUUUAUCCUUUCUCUGUACAUGCCACAUUACUUAUAAAUGAAUAUCACAUUUAAACAAAAAAAAUAUUAUUGUCAACCUAGAUAGAUAUACGAAGUUUGAUUUCUAUAGUGUAUAUGUAAUAUUUAUCAGUAAAUGUACUAAUAGAUUUCAAACUAACUAAAGUAACUUUUCUUUUUGAAAUGUUUGAUUUAUUGAAAAUAAUUCAUAACUUACUAUGCUUUAGAAAAACAGUUGUGAUCCAUGUGGUGAAGAGACUGAAUAUGAAAUUCGAAGAAUAUGUUGGUGUAUUGCUUGGCGAAUAUGGGAUUUCGAAAAUCAAGUUUAUUGACAAGCAACAAGUAAUGAAUCAGUGAAAGAGAAGAUUUUAAGUGUUAUAAACAAGAGAAUAAGAGAUGAUAGCUUAGAAUGACGAUGUAAUAAUAAUAUUAGAUUGACUCUAAACAAGGAAAAAAAAACAUGAAAAUUUGCCUCUUCAUCCUUUUUUAUUUUUUAUUACCUAUUUAAUGAUUUGUAUUUUUUAUUACUUAAAUUUGCUUAUUUUUUAUUUUUUUAAAAGGUUUAAAUUGUAACUGAAUUAUAUUUAUGAAUUUUUUUAAUAUAAACCAUAUAUAGUAAUAUACAUAGCACCGAAAUUUCAACUAUUCUUCUGACGCGAAAACUGAUCUUUUUCGAUCUAUAGCCAAACUAAAUUGGCAGAAACCCUAAUUCCACUGGAAAAAAUGGCAGAAAUUGCCGAUAGAAUCAAUACCACUGUCUCAACGCCGCAGCCAGAAUCAGAAAGCUCCAAAAAAGCAGAUCAGACGAAAAAAGUUGCCCCAAAAGACGCAGCAUUAGAAAUUUCCUUAAAAGUCGAAGAUAUGACGAACAGGGCCGGCUCUUAAGUUGAGCAAGAGGAGCAAAUGUGCAGGGCCCAAAUUUAUUUGUGUAAAUUUAAGGGUCCAAAUUUUUUUUAUUAUGAAAAAGGGUAAUUUUUAAAACUUUAAGAUAUUUUUAACAUGAAAAAUGCCCAAAUAUUUUCUUUAGUAUGAAAAAGCCAAUUUUUAAUAAUUUUUUAACAUGAAAAAUGCCCAUUUUUUUUGUUUGAAAAAUGGCCAAUUUUUAAGAUUUGUACAAGGACUCCAAAUUAAUUGAGCCGGCCCUGGUGACGAAAGAAGCGAAAUCUGGAGGAAUUUUGUUCAGCGUUUGCCCACCGAGUCCGAAAAGUCGCGACUACAUCUUGAAUAGCCUGAUCAAGGCAUUAUCCAAAGACUCGUUCCUCUCCUACAAAUACGGAACGAUUAAACCCGUUUAGACCUAUUUAUAUUUCUUAAUUAUUUUUAUUAAAAAUAUUUAAUAUCUUGAUAACUAAAAUAAAAUAAGAUAAGAUUAAAUACAAUAAUAAUUAGUUUUCACUUAAACCAUAUAUUUAUUUAAAUUAGAAGAAUAUAAAACAGCGUUUUCCCGCCAACUCGCAAAAUUGUGUGAUUGAAUCCGCGGAGGUUCGAUUCAAAGCCAGUGGAACUAAAUCAACCAAUAAAGACGAUGAUUUAGAGGGGAAGACUCAGCCUUAAGAUUUUUGAUUCCUUAUCCUCUUUAUGAUCUGUCUCUAUGGUUUGCUUUUGCUAAUAUGAUUUGUUCUUGUAAAUAUCUUUCUAAUAUGAGUCGUUGAUUGGUUUUGCAUUAUGUGGUUAGUAUCAUAAUUAUCAUUGUGGUUUAUGUCUCUAUGAAUGUUAGAACUAUCUAUGUUUAGUUUACCUUAUAGUUUAUGUCUCUAUGAAUGUUAGAACUAUCUAUGAAAAAAGCCAAUUUUUAAUAAUUUUUUAACAUGAAAAAUGCCCAUUUUUUUUGUUUGAAAAAUGGCCAAUUUUUAAGAUUUGUACAAGGACUCCAAAUUAAUUGAGCCGGCCCUGGUGACGAAAGAAGCGAAAUCUGGAGGAAUUUUGUUCAGCGUUUGGCCACCGAGUCAGAAAAGUCGCGACUCCAUCUUGAAUAGCCUGAUCAAGGUAUUAUCCAAAGACUCGUUCCUCUCCUACAAAUACGGAACGAUCAAACCCGUUUAGACCUAUUUAUAUUUCUUAAUUAUUUUUAUUAAAAAUAUUUAUUAUCUUGAUAACUAAAAUAAAAUAGGAUAAUAUUAAAUACAAUAAUAAUUAGUUUUCACUUAAACCAUAUAUUUAUUUAAAUUAGAAAAAUAUAAAACAGCGUUUUCCCGCCAACUCGCAAAAUUGUGUGAUUGAAUCCGCGGAGGUUCGAUUCAAAGCCAGUGGAACUAAAUCAACCAAUAAAGACGAUGAUUUAGAGGGGAAGACUCAGCCUUAAGAUUUUUGAUUCCGUAUCCUCUUUAUGAUCUGUCUCUAUGGUUUGCUUUUGCUAAUAUGAUUUGUUCUUGUAAAUAUCUUUCUAAUAUGAGUCGUUGAUUGGUUUUGCAUUAUGUGGUUAGUAUCAUAAUUAUCAUUGUGGUUUAUGUCUCUAUGAAUGUUAGAACUAUCUAUUUAUAGUUUACCUUAUAGUUCAUCCACCACCAGUAACUCUAUGCACAGCUUACCAUUUGGUUAUGUAGCGUUGUGAAAUUGAGUUUGGAAUCCUUGUAAAUUCUUUUUAUUUUCAAUGGUGACAGUGCUUGUCGUGUGUUUGGUUUUAUGCAGCUUACUUUGGCUUAUAGGAUUACAAGUUAGUUACCAGUAUGACUAGGCUGAAAUUUUGUCGAUUUUCUAGUGGUGACAUGAACUUCUUGUGAGUCUGGAGUAUGUAAUAUUAUUUUCUUUCCUUUUUGAAAUAUGAAUUACCUAUUUUGGUUUACCUUAUGUCAUCAAAACAUGGAAACAUCAUUGCCUACAAGUUUGCUAGUGUAGUUGGUUGGCACAAUUGCCUGUUUUGUAUUCCUUUCUACUGGAUUAGCUAAUGGCUAAUUGACUAUUAAACCAAGUUAUGUAAUGUUGCUGUACAUGGAAUUAGCGGAUUAUUCCUCAUUUUGUUUCCUCCUUAGUUCUUCCUUCUAUCUUGCCUGGUUUACCUUUGAUAUUGCUUCGAUUUUCUUUCUAUGCUCAGGUUUUUAUGUGUCGACUUCAUCGAUCUCUGUAUUCCAUUUAAUCUCUCUGAUUUCACUGAUUCUUUGGUCUUCUCUCUAGUCUUCUCUGUUUUCAGUUAAGAACAAAGUCUCUUGAGGCUGCAAUUUCAAUUCUUCCCUAUUCCAUUUCCAUACAAGAAUGUUUUUUUAUACAUUUGAGAAUCCAUAUCUCCAAUACUAAUGAUGCUCUUUGUGAUUCAAGAUCUUUCACUAGUUACAAUUAUAUAGUAGCUACUUGGUGGAUCUUUUAGCUUGAUGGUAUAUGUGUCUAAUGCUAAAAGAAUUUGGACAAGCUUUCUGUUACGAUUUGACAAAAGAUGCAGCUCGAGUAUAUAAUAAUUGUACAACAAUUUUGAUGAAACCGUCACAGAAGGCCGUUGUUAAGUCAUUGAAUGUAAUGAUCUCUGGUUAUGUUGGUUUUAAGUCUGUUGAAGUGUACGACCAAAUGGUCAGUGUUGGGGAGAAGCCAGAAACUACCGUCACAAGCACCUGCUUGUUGGCAUCUAGCUUCAUUACAGAUAGGCAAGCGGAUUCAAUCAUUUUUCCAUUAGCAAGAGCAGGUUCGAAACAGAGGAGUUGCUGUUGAGUGCGCUUCUUGACAUGUACUCUAACUGCGGCAAUGUAAAUACAACACUAGAGGCUUAUUGUUUCAGGAAACAAUCAAGAAGCAUGUUCCACAGUCAAGUCUUUCAAAGCUCAACCUAUUAUCAUAAAAAGUCACUAGAGGCUUUUAACAUCAUCUACAUAAUCUAACCCUUGUUGAUUGCACCACAUUCAUGCCACUUCUCGUGACUCAGGACUCCGAUAACAUGAAUCCUUAAAGGACCUAUCCAUUGUAAUCUGGAAAUUCAUUGGCAUUUAUAUCCAACAAAGCCAGAGUUUUCCCACCUCUUGGACAAAACACUACUUUUAACAUCUUGUGUUGGAAGCUGCCACAAGAGCAUCUGACACAUCAAAGUGUCAGGUAAUUUGCUUAUCAUAUCCUCGUGUCUUCGCACUACAGUUUUCGAGUUCAUCUCAUAAUCGCUUCUCUUUCAAAAGGCUCUCCUCCAUUGAAUCCUUUCACAAAAUUGAACUGAAGAUUUCCACUGAAACAAGCUCAACUAGUUGGCUUAUCUGCUUAAAUUAUGGACAUCUAACAUUCAAUAUGUCUAUUUUAGAUUAAAGCUCUUAAUAUAGCAGGUAUGAGGUAAAUACACUCCAGUUUAAGACUCGGAUAAAAAUAGAAGAAGCCAAGACUGUGUUUAGAAACUUGAGAAAAUAGCAUUCAUACUGAAGGAAAACAUACAAUUCAAUGGAUUAAACUCAUAAUCUAAAGUGAGAAUACAUAUUAGAACAUAAUAAAACCAAGUCAAAGAACCGGAAUUUGGAACAACAAGACCUAAGUAUAAGAGAAAAUCAUUGGAUCUGCAAACUUAAGGUGCUUGAUUCCAUGGCGCAAACUGAUCAAAGUGGACAAGUGGGGUUUGUGUCUGCAUCUGAGGAGGAAACACCAUGGGAAGAUCAAAGUUACUUCUUAGACGAGAUCCUUGAGCCCCAAGUAAAGCCGAUUGGUCAAAGCUAGAAACAGAGUUAGGGAGUUGACAGAAGCUACCGUUGUCAUGGUUAUAGAGAAAGACUGAAAAUUUGCUCUGAUGUUGACUCAAUGAUGACGUCGAUAGCUCUUGCUCUGUGUUUGACAUCAAUGGUGAUUGUUGUUGAUGAUGAUCCUCAAUUAGCGAAGGAGAAGACAAUGGAUUCGUUGUGGAAGAAACCACACGGCUCUGACCUAACUCGAUUUGGUUCUCGGGUUGGAGUAACUUAAGCUUAUCUUGUAAUACCCGUAUACCACUUUCUAACGAAUCCUUCAUCUCUAAGACUUUCUCCGAGAGCUUAUUGUCGUCGAGGAUCUUCUUCCUUAGCAACAGAGAAAGGUUUGUGCUUUUCUUGCGUCUCUCUCUGUCGUUUAGUUUGGUAAAUCUCUCAGCCAUGUCUCGAACCUUGGAUUGAUCCUCCGGCCAUGUCUUGAUGAGUUCUCCGUCACGACCAUAAUAUAUGACACAGACUUCGAUGUCGCACAGAGUUGAAAGCUCGAAGGCUUUCUUAAACAUAGUCUCUUCUCUCAUAGACAAGUUCGUGGUCUUUUUUGCAGUAGAAGAAGAGAGAGACGAUUUCUUGAAACAAGUUUGGUUUCUCAGAGACAAUUUAGUUUUCUUCUUCGUCGACAUUGAAGAAUCCAUUGUUGUUUACACAAAGAAAAAAUAAAGAAGCUUUAGUUUUUCUUAUCAAAGAGAAAAAAAAAAACUCUGCGAAUUGGGAUACUAAGUGGUUCAGGGUUGAUAUAUAGAAUUGUAAAAAUUUGAUUUCCAUAUUUGAUAUUGAUUUCACUAAACCAAGAGGGAAAGAAACUGAGCUCUGUGGGUUUCAUUUCCUUUUUUUUUCUUAAGAGUAUAUUUGCUUCAUUAAUUGCUGAUGAUAUUCUUUUAUUAAUCUAACCGUUGGGAUUUUCAAGUAAUGAAUUUCCUUUUUUUGUUUGUUGUCUAUGAGGGAAAUCUUAAUUAGAUCCGAUUUCCAUUUGCUAAUUAAUAUCAAUAUAACCGUUGUAGUAAUAGAAAACACUCACACAAAGAUUAAUAACAUAGAUGUUAAACUCUCGGGGUUUGUGCAAGUCACCACCACUAUGACGAGUCAUUUUAGAUUCUGAAAGCUCUCAAGAAGUCUAGGUAAGCAUUUCCAUGUAGGAUAGACAAAACGUCACUUGUAGACAUGUAAAAUUGCAAAACUGCGGUAGCGGUUCUGUGUUCAUGUUAUGAUAGAGGUACUAACUAGUCAACAUAAUGAUCAUAAGAAUCUAAACAGUCAUGAAAAGAACAUUUUAUAUAUAUGAAUCUGGUAAGACAUAUACCUCUGCAGACUGCAGUAAGCCAACGAUAUAUAAAAAAAAUACCAGAUUAAAGUACCACUACAUACACCUUUGGUUAAAGAACUUGUAUUGCUUAUGAUUUUACUCUCUCUGUUAGAUCAUCUUUAAAAUUCAGGUACUUGAGUAUAGGGGCAUCAAUCAAAAACUCUGUGCCUUCAUAAUCAAAAACAAGAGCACCAGCUUCCAUUUCAUAAAACUCAACAUUGAGACUGGUUAAUGACUGAGAAUUGCACUCCUAAAACCUUAACAUUAUCAUUGAGACUUCUUGCAAUGCUCAUCAAAUCUUCAAGAACCGGGCAAGACGAGAUAAGCAACUGUAUAGCUUCACCACUGCCAUAUAUAUUAUUUUCUAAACGCAUGAACCUGAGACAAGGUAAAGAAACUGACUCGAAAUCACGCAUCAAAACCUGAUGGAGUCUUAAGUACACCAAUGUCUAACAUAUAUAAAGACUUAGGGGAAUUAAUCACCUCUAAAAACUAAUGUUUCACAUGACACUUAGCAUCAAGGUGCUUAAGUUAACGCUUAACCACAGAAUCUAUCCACCGCGUGCCACAAGACUGGCCAUCCUCAUUCCUCCGGAUACUUUACUUGAACUUUCACAAGCAUAAAUCCUUAGAGGAAUCUAAAAACCUAUCAACAAAACUCACUAAGGCAUUGCAAUCUGUGAAUUCAUUGGCGAAUAGAUCUAACCAGGGAAUAAAAAAACCAGAGGUCUUACACCACUUGGACAAAACACUAGAUUUAACAACAUCUUUCGUCGGAAACUGCAACAAGAGCAUCUGACAUAUCAAAGUGCCAGGUAACUUGCUUGUCCCUAUCCUCUUUUCUUGCACUACAGUUUUCGAAUUCAUCGCAUAAUUGCUUCUCUUUUGGAAAGCUUUCCUCCAUUUAAUCCUCAAUUACUAAAUUAGUUGGCUUAUCUGCAUAUAUUAUGGAAUGGACAUCUAACAUUCAAUGUCUAUAGUAUAUUAAAACUAUGACUAUAGCAGGUUUUAAAACUCAAAGAUAAGACUCAGACAAAAAUAGAAGAAGCCAAGACUGUUUUUAGAAACUUGAAAAGAAUAGCAUUCAUACUUAGGAAAACAUGCAUACAAUUCAAUGGAUUUCUUACAAACUCUUAAUCAGGUACGAGAAGAAACAGUUAAACACAUAAUCUAAAGUGAGAAUACAUAUUAGAACAUAAUAAAACGUGGACCAAGUCAAAGAAUCAGAUCUUGGAACAACAAGACCUAAUUAUAAGAGAACAUCAUUGGAUCUGUAAAAGAUGGUGCUUGAUUCCAUGGCGCAAACUGAUCAAAGUGGACAAGUGGGGUUUGUGUCUGCAUCUGAGGAGGAAACACCAUAGGAAGAUGAUCAAAGUUACUUCUUAGAUCUGAUCCUUGUGCCCCAAGUAAAGCCGAUUGGUCAAAGCUAGAAACAGAGUCAGGGAGUUGACAGAAGCUACCAUUGUCAUGGUUAUAGAGAAAGAUUGAAAAUUUGCUCUGAUGUUGACUCAAUGAUGACAUCGAUAGGUCUUGCUCUGUGUUUGACACACCAUUCACCAGUGAUUCUGUCCAUUGUUGUUGAUGAUGAUCCUCAGGAGAAGACAAUGGAUUCGUUGUGGAAGAAACCACACGGCUCUGACCUAACUCGGUCUGGUUUUCGGGUUGGAGUAACAGAAGCUUAUCUUGUAAUACCCGUAGACCACUUUCUAACGAAUCCUUCAUCUCUAAAACUUUCUCCGAGAGCUUAUCGUCGUCGAGGAUCUUCUUCCUUAGCAACAGAGAAAGGUUUGUGCUUUUCUUGCGUCUCUCUCUAUCGUUUAGUUUGGUAAAUCUCUCAGCCAUGUCUCGAACCUUAGAUUUAUCUUCAGGCCAUGUCUUGAUGAGUUCUCCGUCACGACCGUAAUAUAUGACACAGACUUCAAUGUCGCACAGAGUUGAAAGCUCGAAGGCUUUCUUAAACAUUGUGUCUUCUCUCAUAGACAAAUUCGUGGUCUUUUUUGCAGUAGAAGAAGACAGAGAUGAUUUCUUGAAACGAGUUUGGUUUCUCAGAGACAGUUUGGUUUUCUUCUUCGUCGACAUUGAAGAAUCCAUUGUUGUUUACACAGAGAAAAAAAGAAGCUUUAGUUUCGUAUCAAAAAUAAAAUAAUCUCUGAGAACGGUUCAGGGUUUAUAUAGAAUUGUAAAAUUUGAUUUCCAUAUUUGAUAUUGAUUUUUACUAAACCAUGAGAGAAAAAUUCAGCGGUGUUUUUUUUAUUUAUUUCCUUUUUUCCUAAGAGUAUCUUUUCUUCAUUAAAUGAUGAUGAUUUACUUUUAUUAAUCUAACCGUUGGAAUUUUCAGUAAUUGUAAUAAAAAUUAUUUAUUUGUUCUUAACAUUAUAGAGGAAAUCUGAACUUAGAUCCGAUUUCCAUUUUACUAAUUUAACCGUUGUACGUAAUUAACAUUUUUUUAUGUAAAAAAAACCCUAUAUUGCCUCCACUAGUUUCUAUAAAUAAAUCCCAAAUUUCACAAUUCACACCAUCGUCGUCAUUCACUCUCUCUCUCUCACAGUAUAAGCGACGAGACUCUUUAGUAAUAAUGGCACAAGCUUGGUUUCCACUUGAAGAACACUUUCUUCCUAGGAAACUUUCCAAGGAAAACCUCGACAGGUUCAUACCAAAUAGAUCCGCCAUGGAUUUCGACUAUGCUCCCUACGCUCUUACCGAAGGAAGAAAACCUAAAGUUGAGGUAACUUCAGCGUCAAGGAAAGCGUACAUGAACCAAUUGGCUGAGACUAUGAAUCAGAAUCGAACCCGGAUUCUCGCUUUCAGAAACAAACCUAAAGCUCUGCUUUCUAGUAAUCACUCUGAUUCUCCUCAUGAACAAUCUAAAUCCGUAAAGCGUCGUAGAUACAUUCCUCAGAAUAGUGAGAAAAUCUUGGAUGCACCUGGCAUUGUGGAUGACUUCUACCUUAACUUGUUGGACUGGGGUAGUUCUAAUGUCUUAGCCCUAGCUUUGGGCCACUCUAUUUACUUGCGGGAUGCUUCUAGUGAUUCUACAUCUAUGCUUGUGACUAUUGAUGAAGAGAAGGGACCUGUCACAAGUAUUAACUGGAUGCAAGAUGGUUGUACUCUCGCAAUUGGUCUUGACAACUCUGAAGUGCAGAUUUGGGAUUCUGCUUCGAAUAGUCAACUGAGAACAUUGAGAGGUGGUCACCAGACAAGAGUAGGAUCAUUAGCAUGGAACAAUCACAUCCUAACAACUGGAGGAAGGGAUGGAAAAAUCAUCAACAAUGAUGUGAGGAUCAGAUCAUCAAUUGUGGGAAGUUACUUGGGUCACACUGAUGAGGUUUGUGGUCUUAAGUGGUCAGAAUCUGGGAAACAAUUAGCAAGUGGUGGUAACGACAAGGUAGUACACAUAUGGGAUCGUUCUCUCGCAUCCUCAAACUCAACUAGGAAAUGGUUGCAGAGGUUUGAGGGACAUACAGCUGCUACGAAAGCUCUUGCAUGGUGUCCAUUCCAAGCGAAUUUGCUUGCAACUGGUGGUGGUGUAGGAGAUAGGACUAUUAAGUUCUGGAAUACACACACUGGUGCUUGCUUGAAUUCAGUAGAAACUGGCUCUCAAGUUUGUUCAUUGUUAUGGAGUAAUAAGGAAAGAGAGUUGCUUAGUUCACAUGGGUUUACACAGAACCAGCUUACACUUUGGAAGUAUCCAUCUAUGUUGAAAAUAGCUGAACUCAAUGGUCAUACAUCAAGAGUUCUUUAUAUGGCACAGAGUCCGGAUGGUUGUACUGUGGCUUCAGCAGCAGGAGACGAGACUCUUAGGCUUUGGAAUGUUUUUGGAGUACCACCACCAAAGACCACCAAAAAAGCUGCUCCAAAAGCAUAUCUGCAGAUAUUUUCUCAUGUGAAUUGUAUUCGUUGAACAGUGAAGGCUAACAAGGAGAAAACUCAUUGAUAGUUAACAUAAAAAGAAGCAAUGUACAUUCAUCUUUUUUCCUGAUUCAUUAUUCAUGAAUUUUAUUUAGUUAAUACAAAACCAAUUGUUUCUUGUGUAAAUUGUUGAGUCAAGCUGAAUAAAAAUAAAAAGACAGUAUAAUAGCACUAUCAUUGGAACCGGUAAAGUCGGUUUACCUUGAACCGGUUACCAUAAACCAUAGUGUUUGAUUUUCUGAAUUUGUUGAAUAAAACCGGUUAUGACAAAACCGGUGAAGCACUAAGGAAGAAGAUAAUGGCAAACCGGUCGGCGAGGAAUAAAAGGCACCAACUUUUUUUGCCUUUGAAUGGACCUACCAUGAUUCUCCUAAUCAUUCGUUUUUCUUUUAGAUUAUUUUUCAUCUUGCAAUGCUCAAAAAGUCCACUAUUUUGUUGGAAGAUGAAACAGAAUGAGAGAGACAGAAGAAAGAUGUUUCAUUUCUGAAAUCAAGAACCAUCAUCAUUCAUCACCAGACAAAGAAUUGUUCAAUUUGACAAAAUCCAUACCCUUUUGUCAAAAAUCAAAAACACAUGUGUUGUUGUCUCUCACUUGCUUCAUCUUAUGCCUCUGAGAAGAUAGCUUUAAACCCAUAUGAGCGAAUCUGGUUCUGUUUCUCUGGCUAAUGAUGAUUCACGAGAUUGAGAUUCCUUAAAAGUUUUGAUUUUUGUUCUUCUUUUUUAUAGAUUGCUUCAUCUUCAAUUUUCACUUUUCUUUUGUAUUAAAUAAUUUCUUGUUCCGAGGGGUUUUCUUGUUUCUGACAAAUAAAAACCUUUCCUUUUCUCUCUCUGCUGUGAACUAACAUUAAUCAAUUAUCUGUCUCUGAGUUUUUAUGACAACUCAAGUUGUCUUCUUGUUGAGAGUUCUGCAAUAAUUAUAAUAAUGAUAAGUUUAGUGUUCUUUUUCCUUUGUUCCUAACUACCAUUCUUUUACAUUGGAUACGUUGAGUUUGUUGUCUUUGUCUCCAUUCCACUUCCACUUCCUCUUUGUUUGUCAGAAAUUGGAUCUCGUUCAAGUCAUCUAAGAAAAAAAAUGUUAAUUUCAGCUGAAAAAGGAGAGAUCUUGAUCCCUCAAUCUCCAGUUAGCUCAAUGUCUGUUCCUGAAUCUAUUGAAUCAGUUGUUCCUUUGGUCUAUACUGAUGUAAAUGUUGUUCCUGAACAUGAAAGGAAUCAGCUUGAAAAGUCAAUUUCAAACCUUGAAGGUAUCUCUUGAUUUUGCUUCUUCUCACAGUUAUUUUUCCAUUGGUAUGUUUUCUAUUUGAUCAAGAGUUUUAAAAAUGAAUUUGAGCUCAAGUGUAAGUUGAUUGGGUUGGUUUUUUUACAGGGGAAGUUUUGGAGUUGAAGUCAAAGCUAAAGUCAUUGGAGGAAAAGAGAAGGGAAGUUCUGAAUAAGAUUAUAGACACUAAAGGUUGUUAAUUCUUUUAGUUUUGAAACUUGUUUAUUUUUUGGGUUUAGUUUUGAUUGUUAUCUUAAGGAUUGGCUUCAAUUUGCAGGAAGUAUACGUGUGUUUUGUAGAGUUAGGCCAUUUCUAUUGACGGAAAGGAGACCGAUUAGGGAACCUGUUUCGUUUGGACCGGAUAAUAUUGUUAUAAGAUCUGCUGGAAGUCGAAAGGAAUUUGAGUUUGAUAAGGUUUUUCAUCAAUCAGCAACUCAAGGUUAGUUUGCUGUUAGGCUUUAGUGAUUCUUCUUAUUUUGGUUUCUUAGCUUUCUGUUUCCUUCCAGUUGUGAGUAAAUGAGGCAUUCUCCUGGUUGAAAAAAUAAAACUCUGUAGAAGACGUUUUCGGAGAAGUGAAACCGAUUCUUAGAUCUGCUCUUGAUGGUCACAAUGUAUGUGUCUUGGCGUAUGGUCAAACGGGGACUGGCAAGACUUUCACCAUGGUUAGCCAUUCUUGAUACUCAGAUUCUAUUGAAAAUUUUCAUUAGGAGAGUUGCAUUUCUUCUAAGCUACUUUUUCCCUUAGGAUGGCACAAAUGAGCAACCAGGUCUUGCUCCUAGAGCUAUUAAAGAGCUUUUCAAUGAAGCUUCAAUGGAUCCUACACAUUCUGUGACUUUUAAAAUGAGUAUGUUGGAAAUCUACAUGGGUAACCUGAAAGAUUUGUUGUCUGCAAGACAGUCUUUGAAGUCAUAUGAAGCCUCAGCUAAAUGGUAAGUAACCAGCUUUCUUAUCCAAAGGUUUAUCUUUAAGACCACAAACAUUCUUUUAAGUACUUCGUAUUGUAGCAACCUUAAUAUUCAAGUAGACUUAAAGGGUUCGGUCGAAAUUGAGGGUUUGACUGAAGUGGAAGUACCGGAUUUUACAAAGGCUAGAUGGUGGUACAACAAAGGGAGGCGAGUCAGAUCAACUUCUUGGACAAAUGUAAACGAAACUUCAAGCAGAUCUCAUUGGUAAGUUCUUGAUGGUUCUAACUGUAUUUGUCAAUUCUCAAAACAUCUGUUAUUUCUCAGUUUGGUAGUUACCCUUAUUCAAUUAGUUUAUCUCUAGUUUAACAAGGAUCACAAUCUUUCGUCGUGGGGAUGCUGUGGGGUCAAAAACUGAAGUUAGCAAGCUUUGGAUGAUAGAUCUUGGAGGAAGUGAGAGGCUCUUGAAAACUGGAGCUAUAGGGCAAACUAUGGAUGAGGGAAGGGCCAUAAACCUCUCACUGUCCGCUCUUGGAGACGUGAUUGCAGCGUUAAGGAGAAAGAAGGGACAUGUGCCUUACAGGCAAGCUCUCAGCUUUUAUUUCCUUUUCACACACAUAUACCAUUGAAGCAGAGACAUCUAUCUGGCAGAAGUGAAAUAGAUCUUGCUUUGGUCAUGCUACUGAGUUUAGCUUUUUUCCUUUUUUGUUGCUUGCAGGAACAGCAAGCUAACUCAAAUUCUUAAAGAUUCUCUAGGUAAAGGCAUAUGGUUGCUUAAAAUAUUAUCUUAAAAGUCUUUUGAGAUUACCAUAUACUUAAGUUAUCGAAGUUUGAUUGUUUUUGUGAGUUUAAUGGAUUUGUGAUUUAACUUUAUUUAGGUACUAGAUCAAAGGUUCUGAUGCUUGUGCACAUAAGUCCACGUGAUGAAGAUGUUGGUGAAACAAUUUGCUCUCUGAGCUUUACUAAACGUGCGAGAGCCUUAGAGUCUAACAGAGGAUUAACAUCAGUAAGCACCUGUAAUGCAGUAUUUGCAAUUCUAUAUUAAUUCAUUUCACUGAUUGCUGAAUGUUUUCAUGAUCAUUGCUUAGGAACUCCAAAAGCUAAGAGAAAAGAAAAUAUCGGAACUUGAAGUGGAAAUGCGAGAAACUCAAGACAACUGCAAGAAGAUCAAAGCGCGGUUACUGGAAGCAGAGUGUCUGCUUAAUGAAAACAAGAAACUCUUUUGGAUCACCAAUGAUAAGCAUCUAGAAGAUAUCGAAAAGAAAGUUCUUUCGCCUUUAGAUCAUCUACAAGAGACGGAUGCAACCCCAAAAUCAUCUGAUAAACUAGUCAAAAUAAGCAAGAGUUCUGGUUUUGUCCCACGUUUCAUGACUUCAACUGUUGCUAGUCGCCAAAGGCAAACAAUGUCAGAGAAGGAAAUCAAUGCAAAGGCUCAGAGCAUACGAUCAAUGGUUAAAAACCUUACUCAAUUCUCCACUUCUCAAUCGCUUAGCCUCUCUGACUCACGCAACAGAGUUCUCCUUAGAAGAUCAUACACAAAGCCGCUUCAAGCUACAGCUAACAGUGGAACAACACCAGAAACGCCUAAAAGACAUAUCAAGGAUAAUUCUUUACAGAGAAAGAAUAUGAAUGAUACUUCUUCACCAAGGAGCAAGAUGGUUACUUCAUCGGAUCCAAAUGUGAGAGCUAAACUGUGUCACCACAGACGAAGAAUGUCAAGCUUGACAUGAUAUAACAGUAAUCAGUCAAGAAAUCUUUCAUCUUUCUUUUCCAUCUCUUGUGAAAGUGCUGAGUAUGAGCCUGAGUAGGAUGAGGUUGAGGCGGCGUCCUCCAGUAGAGUAAGGACCAUUUGAACCUGAGUAAGGCGAUGGUCGACUCGCGAUUUUAGGAGCAUUUGAACUUGUGGAUUUUGCAGUUCUGGUUUUAAAAGGACACAGCCCUCAAGUUACUUUUUUUUUGCUUACAUCUGAGAGCAUGCCUAUAUGUUUUGUUUGUGAUUGUUUCUCAAAGUUUUCUUUGGGUUGGUGAUAGUUUGAUGUUGGAUGUUUUUAUGGGGUUCACAGAAACUGGAUCAUAAUUAAUAGUCCAGAUUCUGUCUUCUUUGGAGGGUUCAGAGAGAUGUGUGAAAAGGUUUGAGGGUUUUAUUUUGUCAUCGUUUGAAGUUCUUGAUGGCACAAUAGUGUUGUGGAUUUUGGCUUCAUUGUAUCUUACUUUUUUUGUUUGUUUGUAACAACUCUUUCUAUAUACUACUAGAUAAGGACCCGCACAUCGUGCGGGUUUUAAACUUUUUAUAAAAAUUAAUUUAACAAAACAAUAUAUAUAUUCAAAUUUUGUUGUAAGAGCAUCCACAAUGGGGUAAGUGUGAGUGUGGGUGUAAAUUUUUUUUUAUUAUUAUAAUUUAAAGAGAGAGAAAAAAGAGAGAGAAAGAAAGAGAGAGAAAGAGAGAGAGUGUCUUACACCCGGGUGUAACUUACACCCGGGUGUGAAGAGAGAGACAACUUUUCUCUUAUUUUCGAUUACUUUAAUGGUCACACCCGGGGAGAAAAUGCGCCAUUGCGCAUGGCCUAAGCAGAAACUAUCUUUCGAAAGUAAAUAGAUAUUUUUUUAGUUAGAAAAUGAGAUAUUUAUAUAUUUGUUUUUUUAAUAUACUAAAUUGCAUUUCUAUAUUUUAAAUUUAUUGUAACACAUAUUACAAUAAUUUAAAUUAUCAAUCACCAAAAUUUUUGCCAAAUAUUCAUCAUAAUUACUAUUUCCAAAUUUCAAAAAUGUAGUCUCGCAAUCUUGCUUAAAAUAUAAUUCCAUAACUUCUUCAAAAAUUAUUUGACAUGCAAACUACCAGAUAAGCAGUCAUCUUAUUACAUCCAUUUACAAAUCUAUUAUCUACGUUAUUACUAAAAAUGUGUAUUUAUACCCAAUCAUUUUAUACCCUGAAAGUAUGAUCUUUACCAAACACCACCUACAAAAUAUCUCAAUGAAGACAUUAAACUAACUAUAAGUCUUAUUACUUUCACUUUUGCAUCGAUUGUAGAUGUAGGAUUCACACUCGAUUAUCUUUAAGUAUUUCAGUGGAGAAAAACUCUUAAAAUCAACGAAUGAAUAUGAGAAUUCGAAAGGGAAAUUAACCAAGAAAAGAAUAAAGUAAAGAAAUUUGAUAAGAACGAAGUAUGCAAAGCCUUGCGAAAUUGUAAGAGAAAAAAGUAUGUUGUAUUGCUUAGUGGUAGUGAGUAAAAAGAUUUGUCUCUCCCAAACACAUGCGUUUGAGGCUGUUUUUAUAGAGAAAACAUGAUUAAUGCGGUCAUUUACUGCUCAUAAUCGCAUUGAUCCGCAUUAAUCAUGUAAGUUACAAUUUGACCGAAACGGCUUGAAUUUGAACUAUCUUGGGCUUCGCAUGGAUCUUCCGAACUUUUUCUUGCUGACUCCGAACUCCCGCGUUUUGACGCUACUGCGAGCCUCGAACAAUAUUCUCCUCGCUUCGGCCUUUCUCUAUGCGAACUGUCUGUCGAAUAAGAGCGAACUCCAUACUGGCAAAGAUCGAGCUCUUCUACUAGACUGAAUCGAUCUUCCGACUGGUUAAGCUCGAUACUUAUAAUAAAAAUAUCUUCAAUUCCGAGAGGAUUAUUAUGUAAUAAUGACGCGGACAGAUCCAAGUGGAUCCUACCGAGAAUGUGUGGGAUCCGACCCCAACAUUUAGCCUCCCAAGUCUUGCGAGCUGAGUGCUCGGCUUGGAAGACUUAAGUAAAUAGUAAUUAAUGAAUCGAGAUCUUUAACAUUCUGGAAUUUCUCCAUGUUUUACGCUGUUACGCCGAUCUCGGAUAAUCAAAUGAUUUCCCUGACAACCGUCAUCAUUAAUUUUGUAAUUUUAUAUUAAUACUGCAGGGAAAACUGUCUCGCUUCCCAAUAUUCUCGAGGAGGUCUCCCAUCAUACUUUAGGGUUCUAAGAGGUAAUAUUACUUUUCCAUCUUAUCUUCUUUACCUAGAAAACUUUCAUUCUUAUUACAGAGGUCGUUGUUUCCUUUCGGUAAAAAUCCCUUUCAUAAAAUGUCGAACCUCUCUUCUGAAUUCGCGAAUAUGAGGCUCAUGAUCUCGAAGCUUUCAUGGGUGAGGGAACCGAACCUUAUACCCAAACUGGAGGCGGGUUUGAUCUUCACCCUCAGAGUCAAUCGACUGUUGAUUCUCUUAACGAUCUCCGUCGCUUAUGCCACAUUCCCCCCGAAGUGGAGAUGGUGGUCCCGGAGCCUUACGAGUCUCCGGAAUCGGGGCGAGAGGGUUAUUGCUGCGCCUAUGAAAUUUAUUUCAAAGGGUGCGGCUUGUUCCUCCCCCUUCUUGAGAUACUUCUUAUUUACCUCGACCAUCUGGGAAUCGCCUUCUCUCAGAUGUCGCCCAACAUGCUCCGGUAUCUUAUGUGUACCUUCACUAUUGCGGCGGAGGCGGGCUACUCGCUGGGACUUAGCGAGCUCUUGGAAUUCUUCCAGGCUCGUGAAUCCAGAACUUUUGGGUAUUAUGCCCUUUAUCCGAUCGCAGAUCGGAACCUUAUUGAUGGCCUGCCUUUAAAAGACAACGACUGGAGGAAAUUUUGGUUCUUCUUCCGUAUAAAUAGUUUUUCGGUUCAGAGUUCUUCUGAACUCCUUCGAAUUCACUGGUCAUCGAAUUUGGGUAGAAACUGAAUAAGUUUCCCAGGCUAUUUCGAACUGUGUUAAUACUUUCUCGUUUUUCCGCAGGUCCCCAAAUUCGGCCAGUUCCCUCUGUCAAUUUUUUAAACUUUUACCAGGCCGUCCUGGAGAGGCCAGUUAAUUGGAAUUCUUUUACUUUGGAGAGAAUUCACGGUGCCGGACAUUCUGUCAGAAUGGGCCUCACUCACCCCGUCGACCCUCCUCCUGCUGAGAUUGAUCUCUCUAGUCUGAAUGCCCGAGAUAGGAGAAAGAUCAGAGAAGCAGACAAGAAAGUCAAAGAUCAGAUUUCCCAGAUUGGAAGAAACAAGAAAAAUGCAUCUUCCGCCGGAGAUGACAAAAUCUACCGAAAAACUCUUUUAGUUGAUGACGGGUCCCUUGAGGGCUCAAAGUUAAUGGCGGUUGUCAUAAACAAUGCUCAUCCCUCCACCCCAGCAGCAGACAACACGAUCGCUGCUACUGCUGAAGAGGAAGGUCUUAUAGGCGAUUCUUCUUUCAUGAAGAAGAAGAAGGCUGAGGAACUCGAACCCCCGCUCCAGGGACAACCCAAGAGCAUAAGGAAGGACAAAAUAAAUCCUUCAAAACUACCAAUUCCUGAAUCUGCUGAAGCUCAGGAUAUAAACCCUGAUUCAGGAAUUGUUAUAAGGGAACCGCUGAGUUAAGGGAUGUUACCCCCUAGACGUCCCCGAGGUAAUACCUCUAGAGUUCGAUCGUCUCCGAGCUCAGGACUUGUUGCCAGAGCCUCAUCUCAAUCAGGUAACCUUCAAUUAACAUUUUGUUACUGGAGAUUAACCGACCCUUUAGGAAGCUCAAUACUCACAGAAAUAUCUCUAUUUCAGAUAAAGAGAAGAUUGGAAACAUCUAAAAGAUGUUUCCACACUCGCUUUGGGAAGAAACUUCCGUCCUUUGGGCACUGGAGGGAUGACAUCAAGAAGAUGUAUAUCAGUCAUUCAUUCCACUCCUCCCAGGUUUGACUGUUCGAAUAUGUAAACAUCUAAUUUUGUAUCUCCCUUUUCUUAUCACAUCUCCUUUUAUUAGGCAACCCUGGAUGUGAACAGCAUCAUCAACCAUUACGAAGAGGAGCUUACCAAAGUUUCUAAGAGAGCUGCUAUUGCUGAAGGAGAGAUUGAGAAACUCCAAUCUUCCAAUCAGCUUGUGAAGGAGACGAUUGGUCUCGACUCGGCUCGUUAGAAAGAAAUCGAGCGACUCGAAAGAUCUGGCGAGGAGACAAGGAAGAUUUUGACUAAGACAGAGCAAAAGCUAAAAACUGCCCUUGCUGAUCAUAACUUCGCAAAGGGCGAAAUCGAGCUUCUGAGAUCAGAGCUUAGCAAGGUCAAAACAGCUGCUGAGGAGCUCGAACGCAAAAAUGAGUCUCUUUCCAAACUGAAAGAUCGAGAUAUUCGCAACAUAUCUCAUGAUGCUCGGAAAGAAGUUAAAGGAGCUGGGCAAAAGUGUCUUCUUGCUGUGCAUGAAUUUAUCACUGCGGAUAAAGAUUGGAACAAACUUAACUCCGAACGUGAUGAGAUGAAGAGCAAUCUCGAUCUGAUCAAGGAGAUAGAAGAAGGAACACAAUUAAUCUGGCUGAAGAAAAGGAGACAGUUGGCGCUGAGCUCGCUAAGACUGAAGCUAAGCUAGCUACUGCUCCUCAGCCAUAUUUAGAUUUGCAGUAAUUUGCUUCUGAGUUCGCUGAUUCCCCUCCAUUGAUCGAACCUAAUACCGGUUUGUCUUUGGACGAGAUGAUGUUAACUGGUUCUCUUCGUGCUCAUUUUAAUGAGUUCGGAACCAAUGUUGACAAAAUUUCUUUGGAACAAACUCAGGGGUUCUCUGGUCAGGAUCCUGCCAUUUCCUCGAUUAUGGAAGAUGACAUUGAACCGAGGAGCGAAAUUCCUCAGGAUGCUAGCUCGCUUAACCCUGAGGUGGUUCUCACAACUCAAGAUGCUACCGUCGGGGGUGCUCCUGUCUCAAGCCAAGUAGGAGAUGAAGGCGGCUCGCCUAUGAAUGAAUGAUGGUGAUUGCACUCACUUUUAUGGGGAUUGUCCCUUUAAUUUUAAGACAUGAAAUUCGCUUUGUUGGCCAUGGGGCCGUUUAUUUCUUUUCGAGUUUUUUGCCCAAGGGGGCUUUUAUUACUGUUUUGAAUAAUUUGCCCAAGGGGGUUUUUAAUUAAAAUUUCUUUAGAAAGAAAUAUUUAAUCUAUGUGAAAACCAUCGAUUUUACCUGGAGGGUUUGCAAAGUCCUCCUAACCGAAAUGGUUUAGAAUUAUAGGAGAGAUAGGCUGAUCAGACCUACUUGCCCUUUUUAAAGAAAAAACCUUAACAAGUAUUUUUCCUCGGUCUCUCGGAAGCGAGGAUGGAGCUCGGCUUAAGCUUUUUAUCGAGGGAUAAGAUUUUUAUAAUUCAUGAGAAUUUUGCCAUAAAAAUGACCAGGCAAUGGUUUCGAUCAUAGCCUAAAAAUGGCUUUGAAAAUGUUGGGCCACGUUUUAAUUGGACCUGAAGUCUGCUCUAGCAGGCCCGUUAUAUAUAUAUAUAUAUGUAUAUAUAUAUAUAUAUUUUUUAAAGAGUCUGAACACCUUUCUCCUUUAAAAGAAUUCUGAAAGACUCUCACAGUUUAUUGUAAAAAAAAACUGAAAUAUGCCGCUAUCUUCUUUCAGAUCAAGCUCAAGAAUAACAACUUCAAACGGGGAUCCAUUGUUUGAAUCCGAAGACGGAUUCUCUCCAAAGGGAGUCAUUUACCCUACGUUUUUUCAUUUCCGAACGGGGAAAGAAAGGGUCAAAUGUUAUGACUUCUUGGAAAAGGUUCCCUUUCUAAUUUUUAGUCUUUUCAGAAGACUGUAUAUUCUCUUUCAGACAGUUGACAAAAUGUUUGUUCAAACAGAUCGUCAGGAGACAUAAAGCUUUAUGUGAUAAGAGACAAAGAAUCGGAAGGAGGCGUCGUGCUCUUGACGAGCUUAUAAGGAAAAUAGAAAGAGAUAUCCAUCGCCUCAAAUCUGAACCGCAUGAGUGGGAGAGGAAGGGUUUAGAUAUCGUGGCUAUCAUUCCUUCUUGCCUUCGAAGAUUCCUCUGCGCGCUGGACAAAUUAUCUCAUCUAUCCUUAGCAACCGGCGACAGAUCCUCUUUCGUUUCAUGUUCUUCAGAGUUUCAGAGAUUUUCGAUGUUAAAAACUGAGGAAAAUGAAGAAACGGAGGCGAAAUCAAUCGAUCAUUCUUCCGGUCUCCUCGAUUUAUCUUCUGACGAAGGAUUAUCCUCAGAAAGCUGUUUGGGAUCAUCCACCUCGCUGGAAUCGUUAUCGAACGAAGACUUUUGAUCGAACAAUUCCUUUGAUUUAUUUUCAUUUGUAACAAUGCUAUUGGGCUAGCGGCCCAUCGACAUUAAUUAUGUUUCCCCUUUUGCUUUAAAUUUGUCGAUUUAUUUCAAUCUUAUUUAAUGCGCUAAUUUAGGGAAUAUAAUUAGCAAUUAACUCUAUUAAAUUUUGGGAAAUCGUCAAUUGACCCUCUUAAAUGUGAUUGAGUAUAUUUCGAAUAUAAAGUAGGUGUAGUUCAUUAUUGAGUUUUAUCAACAGUAAUUCUACAAAGAUGUUCGAGGAAGGUAAUUCUUCAGAGAACCCCCCCCCCUCGACUCAUUCAAAACGAUAAGCGAUGAUCUUCCGGAAACGUCAGACAUCGAGAUUGUAAAAACGGAAGCAACCGACGAACCAGAAGAGUCACGUCCAUUAGGGUGGGGAACCAACAUUCAGGUUCCGAACGUGUUAAUCGAGAGAUUAUCAUCUCAAGAUCGUAUCAAGGCUGAGGAGUUUAUUGACAAGGUAUUGUUUUACCUAGUGAUUUGACUCCUUUUGUUGUUGUUUAAACGAAGCGUUUUAUUUUCUUCAGCUUUUCACUCGGCACAACGAGCUCGAAGGUGAGAAAAUUGAGAUUAGGAAAAGAAGAAUGGAACUAGAUAAGCGUCAUCUCGAUAUUUCUCGCGAGCUUCAUCGCCUCGAUGCCCAUCCUUCCGAUUGGAUCGAGAUAGGCCUCCAGGAGUACGGAACCAUGCCGGGUUGCAUUCUGAGAAUCGUUGACCUCGCAGGCCAAGGAGCAGAGUUAUUCCGUAAUCCAAGACCCUUCUAGAUCUGGUUUUUGUUUAGCUAAAAUAUUUCUUCAUACAUUGUUCGCAACGUAUUUUUAUAUUUAUGCUCGAAGAUCAAGUUUAUAAAAACAAGACUCCAUGAUUGGAAUAAUAUUUUUAUUUUUAUAACUGGACUUGUGUUUAGCGAGCUGCCUACGUACCCAAAAUAGAAUCAAGCCAAAUCGUAGUUCGAAUAUAUAUUUGUUUUAGCAAUAGAACUUUUUCAAGUUGAUGAUGUUCCAAGGCCUUUGAACGGGAUUACCGUCAAGGUCUUUUAAACGGUAUACACUAUUUCGGAUUCUUUCUGUGAUUUGAUAAGGGCCUUCCCAGUUAAUACCGAGUUUUCCAGCUCCUUCUUCUUUUGUGUUAUCGAACACUCGCCUUAAAACAAAGUCUCCUACAUUUAAAGGUUUGUUUUUCAACUUUGAGUUAUAGUAUCGAGCGGUCAACUGCUGAUAGUUCUAAAGUCGAAUAAGGGAUUGGUCUCGCCUUUCAUCAAUUGUAUCGAGAACGUCUUCUAAUAACUUAGAAUUUAGUUCUUCGUUAAGUGGAGCUUCGCUCCGGCGUAAACAAGGAACAUUCAGCUCGGCUGGGACUACUGCUUCCAUCCCAUAUACUAAUGAGAAUGGAGUUUCUCCCGUUGCUCGUCUCGGGGUUGUUCGAUAUGCCCACAACACAGGUUGCAGCUCGUCAUACCAACCACCUUUUCGAGCAUUCAAACGUUUUUUAAGAUUGCUGAGAAUGGUUUUAUUGGAAGCUUCCGCUUGCCCAUUUCCUUGAGGAUACCUCGGCGUUGAAUAGCUAAGUUUUAUCCCCCAAGAGGAACAAAAAUCUUCAAAAUCAUUUGAAAUGAACUGUGGACCAUUGUCCGUUACAAUUUUGUAAGGAACUCCAUGGAGACAAAUAAUAUGUUUCCACAAGAAUGUCUUUACCACAGAAUCUUGUAUGUUUACGUAAGCUUCAGCUUCAAUCCAUUUGGAAAAAUAGUCCGUUAGAACUAAUAAAUAUUGGACGCCUUGCGUUGAGCGAUGCAUCGGACACCCUAUAUCCAUUGACCAUCUCAUGAAAGGGUAUGGAGCGGAUAUUGAUGACAAUAAUUCAGAUGGCUGGUGAAUAAAAGGAGCGUGCAUCUGUCAUUUUUUACACCGUUUGGCGUAAUCGAUGCAGUCAGAAAUCAUAGUUGGCCAGAAAUAUCCUAACCGUUUGAUUUUAAAAGUCAUUGCUCGUCCCGAAGAAUGACUACCGCAAAGCCCUUCGUGGACCUCGCUUGUCACUAUUUCAACUUCGGGCCCGAAAAUACAUAAAAGAUAAGGAUCACUGACACCUCGCUUGUACAAUGACUCUUUAAUUAUACAAUACUUAGCGCUGAUAAUUCUUAAUUUGCGAGCUUGCCAUUUGUUCGAUGGUAGUUCUCCAUUAAGAAUGAAAUUUUUGAUGGGUACCCUCCAGUCAGCCCCCCAAUCAUUAGCGGAAGUAUUAUCCUUGAGUAUAAACUUCUUUGGUUCCGGCUCGGAAGGAAUAUCAGGAUCAUUUUUGACUGUUACCAGAACUUCUUCAUUAUUUGCGGUUUUUGGAAGUGACUGUUCAGCUCUAGAUGGUUCUUUAAUGGGAACCUCUUGAUCUUUUAGUUUUCUUCUCGGCUUUCUUUUAGGAAGUUCCGGUUGUGGAGUAAGUUCGUCAUCUUGAGACUUUGCUCGUGAUCUAGUGACAACAAACGAACUGUUCUUGUUGUCGGAAUUUUAUUCUGGAGUUUCGAUAUGCUCGACCUCCAAAAUAUUAUCGUUUCCUGUUCCUUCAUCUGAAAUACUUCGUGAAGUAAUACAUUUCAACUGGAAUAACUCGCUUGAGUUUGGGAUCUGAGAUAGAAGCUAGGGCAGCUAAAGCGUCUGCCGAAGUGUUCUCGCCUCGAGGUAUUCUAACUAAUUCGAAUAUUUUGAAUUUUCCAGCUAACUUUUUGACGGCCGAAAGGUAGGCUUCCAUUCGAGGUGCCUUAGCUUCGUAAUCUUCCGUGAACUAGUUCACAACUAGCUGAGAAUCACAAUAAGCUAUUAUUUUUUCUGCUCCAAUUGCAAGAGCAAGUCGAAGUCCUGCUAAGAGACUUCAUUGUUCGAAGCCGGGAACAUUAAUCGAAAUGAUUGUUCGAUUAUUUCCUUUGUCGGAGUUUCGAGCCUAAUACCGAUUCCGGAUCCUUGUUUAGAAGAAGAGCCAUCUACAUGUAAUUUCCAUGUAGAGUCUGUUUCAAUAAAGGUUCCAUCAUCUAAUGGUAGUUCGGUUAGAAAAUCAGCCAGAACUUGUGCUUUUGCACUAGUUCGACUUUUAUAUUCUAUAUCGUACUCACUGAGUUCGAUAACCCAUUUCGCCAAUCUACCGGACUGACUUGGUCCGUGAAGAAUUGAGCGAAGUGGAUGAGAAGUUAAAACUUCUAUCGGAUGAAACUGGAAAUAAGGUCUUAGUUUUCUAGCAGAUAUGACUACUGCUAAAGCUAAUUUUUCCAUCAUGGUAUAUCUCGAUUCUGGACUGGUAAGAGAUUUACUUAUAUAGAAAAUCGGCUUUUGAUCACAUCGAUCCUCUCGAACUAAAACCCCACUUACAGAAUGAUUUGAAACUGAAAUGUCAAGAUAAAGUUUCUCAUCUGACUCAGGUUUUGAGAGAACCGGUGGUGUUGUCAAAUAAGUUUUGAGUUGAUCGAAAGCUGCUUCGCAUUGAUCAUCCCAUCGAAAUUUCUUGUUUCCUUUUAAAAUUUGAUAAUAAAGGAGACAUUUAUCGGUAGAUUUCGAGAUGAAACGAUUCAACGCAGCAAUUCUGCCCGUCAAUCGUUGGACCUCUUUAAUGUUUUUUGGCGAAGGCAUUGUGAGGAAAGCGUUAAUCUGAUUAGGAUUUGCUUCUAUUCCUCUUUCCGUGACUAUGUAACCUAAGAAUUCUCUUGAAGGCACACCAAAAGAACAUUUAGCUGGAUUUAAUUUCAUUCCGAACUCAUUCAGAAUUUUGAAACAUUGUUCAAGAUGAGUGAUGUGCUCGGAUUUCUUAAGAGACUUCACGAGCAUAUCAUCGAUAUAGACUUCCAUCGUUUGGCCCAAAUGUUUUGCGAACAUUUUGUUAACUAAACGCUGGUAUGUUGCUCCGACAUUUUUUAAACCGAAUGGCAUAACUUUGUAACAGUAGAUUCCUCUAUCUGUUAUGAAAGAUGUUUUCUCUUCAUCUUCGGGAUUCAUCAUGAUCUGAUUAUAUCCAGAAAAUGCAUCCAUAAAUGAUAAGAGUUCGUUUUCGGCUGUUGAUUCUACAAGCCGAUCAAUAUGAGGGAGAUGAAAACUGUAUUUUGGACAUGCUUUUUUAAUGUCGGUGAAGUCGACACAUACUCUCCAUUUUCCAUUCUUCUUUUUGACUACCACGGGGUUUGCUAACUAGUCCGGGUACUUUACUUCUCUAAUGGAACCAAUUUUCAAAAGUUUAUCAACUUCGUCAUUGACCGCUUGAGCUCGGUCAGGACUCAGUUUUUUUUCUUUUCUGCUUUAUUGAUUUAAAACUGGGAUCGACGUUUAAUUUAUGGGUAAUGAUACUUUUGUCGAUUUCGGGCAGAUUUUUUGCCGACCAGGCAAAAGUACGUUUAUUUUCCUUUAGAAAUGUUACCAAUUGAUCUUUGAUUUCUGAAUCUAAAGUAGUACCGAUUUUUACUUUUCGAUCUGGAAAUUCGGAAUCAAUUUCAAUUUCUGUGGUAACUUCAUUCGAACUGAGACCACUUGGGUAACGCGAGGUGCUUUCUUGCUUCGCGUUUAUCAUUAAUUGCUAUUUGAGCUUUAAACGAUGUCCCAUGAGGUAGCAAGAACGCGAUGUUUCCUGAUCUCCUCGAAUGGUUCUGAUUCCUCCAGGAGUCAGAAAUUUCACACAUUGGUGAUAAGUUGAAGGUAUAACCUUCAUUUGGUAUAUCCACGGAGUUCCGAGAAUUAUGUUGUAAGCGGCCGGACGGUCGAAAACAAUGAAUUCUACAAUUUUUGGAACCCCUACGGCGAGUACUGGUAGUUUUAUGUUUCCUAAGGACAUAGAUGUGUCACUUGUGAAAGCUACCAAUGGUGCCGGUGGACCGAUAAUGUCGGCUUUACUGAUUCCCAUUCUUUGCAAAGUGCUUAGAAAUAUGAGAUCUACCGAGCUUCCAGUAUCAAUUAGGCACCUUGUCACUUAGAAGUUCGCAACAUCUAAAGUUAUCACAAGAGCAUAGUCAUGAGGUCAUGUUAAUCCUUGAGUAUCCGAAUUGUCAAAAGAGAUAGAAGGUGUUUGUUCAUUUGACUGAAAACCCAUAGCGGUUUGAAUUGCUGCUGAUUUCUUGUGCCUUUUGAUUGAUCUGAUCGAAUCUUGGCAUAAUUUAGAUCCUCCCAUUAUAACAUCAAUCCUUUUAUCAGGAGUGUUCGGAGUUCCGGGCCCAUUGGGCUUAUGUUUCUUUUCAGGAGGAUUAGAAGCUUCAUAAUCUUCUUUUUCUUUGUGAUAAGAUUCCACAAACUCCUCGAUAUUGAAAUUAGCGAGCUUUCCAGCUGCCCACAGUUCGGUGAGGUGCUUUUUGAGUACGCUACAAUCUUUGGUGGAGUGCCCAUUUACUUUGUGAAUAUCGCAAUAGACACUUUCAUCUCUAACCCAAGUAUUAGGAGAUUUGUAUCUUCCUUCACUUGGGGAGGGUUUUCCUACAGCGUUAGUAGCAAGGCUGGCCGAUGCUUUUUAGCGAGGCUGAGCUUUUCUUCUUCUACCUCCAUCCAAUUGUUAGCUCGAAACAAAGCAUCCUGGAUGGUACUUGGACGAUUGACGAUGAUUUCUUCCCGGAAUCGGGAUUCAUGCCAGAGUCCAUUCCUUAAAGCAGAUAUGACAGCAGUGUGCGAUACCCCAAGAAUUUUGGCUAUCACUUCUUUGAAUUUAGUGAUAUAUUUGCGAAGUGGUUUAUUCUGACCUUGGGUUAGAUUCCAAAGAUCUGCAUCAGAAGUUGCCUUUUCCAUGAACAUGGAAUAUUGUUUUAGGAAUGCAGAGGACAAUUCCUUAAAACUAUCAAUAGUUCCAGGCUCCAACUGAGUGAACCAUAGCAAGGCCGAUCCGGAUAGAUUCUCGGAGAAUAGUUUGCAAUAUCCGGCAUCUUCCUCGUCUGGUUCUAGAUCAAUUCUGCCUGCAACGAUCUGAAAAGCAGCGAGGUGAUUUUUAGGAUCUCUUUUACCAUCAUAAGUUGGUAACUUAACCUUUCAAGAAUCUUUGAUCUGAAGGUUCGAGAUUCUCGAGGUGAACGGUGUUCGACGAGCUUCUUCGAUUACUCAAUCGAUAUCAGGCGCCGAACUGGUCGCCUGAUGAAAUUUCGACUUCAUUUCAUCAAGCUCUUGACGAACCUUGAUGAAAUCAUCUGAGAAGGUGACAUCGGGAUCUUCCAUAAGGAACCCGUCGUCAAUAGGAGGAUUUUCCUGAACCUGGGGAAUUCCUUCCCCGGUUGGGUUAGUCCCAUACCCUACGGCUGCCUGAUUGCUAGUACUAGCUGGCUGGCCUGUUGGAGGAGGUUGAGUAAUCCCUGACCUGUUUUGUGGGGGAGUUACCAAUAACCUGCGCUGAUGCAUUGCAGCCCGCACAAAAGGCAAAUUAUCUAAACGGCUCGAAACAACGUUCUGCGCGUUUGAUAAAUUUGUCUGGGUGGUUUGGACACUCGUCAAGGUUUGCUCGAUUGAGUUCAACCUUUCACUAAAAGUGGUGUUGGCAUCAACGAGUGUACCAAUAUGAGUGGUCAGAUUAGUGGUUGUCUGAUUAAGCAAGGUAAUUGCAUCGCUCAAAGCUUGCUGCUCAGCCAUAGUUUCUUGGUUGGGAAAGAAAGAUUUUGAGAUUAAAGAGUUUUGUGGUAGGUCCCCACAGGCGGCGCCAAAAUGUGGAUGUAGGAUUCACACUCGAUUAUCUUUAAGUAUUUCAGUGGAGAAAAACUCUUAAAAUCAACGAAUGAAUAUGAGAAUUCGAAAGAGAAAUUAACCAAGAAAAGAAUAAAGUAAAGAAAUUUGAUAAGAACGAAGUAUGCAAAGCCUUGCGAAAUUGUAAGAGAAAAAAGUAUGUUGUAUUGCUUAGUAGUAGUGAGUAAAAAGAUUUGUCUCUCCCAAACACAUGUGUUUGAGGCUGUUUUUAUAGAGAAAACAUGAUUAAUGCGUUCAUUUACUGCUUAUAAUCGCAUUGAUCCGCAUUAAUCAUGUAAGUUACAAUUUGACCGAAACGGCUUGAAUUUGAACUAUCUUGGGCUUCGCAUGGAUCUUCCGAACUCUUUCUUGCUGACUCCGAACUCCCGCGUUUUGACGCUACCGCGAGCCUCGAACAAUAUUCUCCUCGCUUCGACCUUUCUCUAUGCGAACUGGCUGUCGAAUAAGACCGAACUCCAUACUGGCAAAGAUCGAGCUCUUCUACUAGACUGAAUCAAACUCCCGACUGGUUAAGCUCGAUACUUAUAAUAAAAAUAUCUUGAAUUCUGAGAGGAUUAUUAUGUAAUAAUAACGUGGACAGAAGACAGAUCUAAGUGGAUCCUACCGAGAAUGUGUGGGAUCCGACCCCAACAUCGCUUUUUUAUAAAUAUUUGUUGACUUGAAAAAAAUUUCUAUUACAUAUUUCCAAUUGGAAAGGAAAUUAAAAUAAAUAAUAAAUUAAAUUAUCACAUAUUUUUAUUUAUUUAUAUAAUUUAUCUUUUUACACAUGUCAAAAUAUGAUCGACAGACUUGACACAUGUCACGAUCCCAUGAGUUACUAAUUUUUAAAACCAAGCUUGGUAUAAGGAGACGAUAGAUUUUAAUUCUACACACCCUUCAUCUUAAUAGAUAAGUGCUAAAAUUUUUAUAUCAAAAUAAUAUGUAUAUCAUAUCAAAUCUAUAUCUUAGUUAAUAUUAAAAUAAUUAACAAAUAUCAAACAUAUUAACAAAAAAGUAAAAAUCCACAAAUCUUUUUGGACUUUAAAAUAUUAUUAUAUAUAUAUAUAUAUGUUUUAAUCUCAUAAGUUAAUUUUACAUCAUGUCAAACUAAUAUUAGUUGAAUUAAAAUUAAUAAAUAAAACAUAAAUAAAAAUAUACUAACAUUCUCAUCAAGUAAUCAAAAUUAAUUCCUAUAUGCCAUUUUCCAAAUUUUGGUGUUUUCACUUAUUUCAAAAAAUAAGUAUAACUAUAAUAAUAUUCUCAUCAAGUAAUCAAAAAUUUAUACUUAUAAACUCAUUACUUUUUCAAAUUUUAUUGACCAAUACAUGCCCAAUUUUAUUGACUAAUAACACAUGUAAAAAAAAAUUAUUUUCCUUUUCUUUAAAAAAAAAUUAUUUUUUACCCAAAAAAGCUUUGACAAUAGAUCGAAGUUGAAUUAAUGGUGGUGCUUCUGAAGAAAUUUUUUUGUUUGGUGAGAAAAUAUGAGAAUAUCUAUUUGUUUAUAUAGAGGAGAGUAUUUAAAAUCCUUUUUCUUCUAUGAUUAAUAAUUGAUUGAAUAAUGAGAAAUUGUUAAAAAUGCCCCUUUUUCAAUACCCCUUUUCAAAAAUGCACCCUUUGAGAGUUUAUUUUUAAGUUUGCCCUAUUUUAAUUUUUAAUGACCAUUUUACCUUUAUUUGAAACAAAAUUAGGUCCACAAAAUACAAAAUAUUUUUUGGCGAGAAAAGUGAUCCCGCAAUUUUCCCGCCAAAACACUUGUAAAAACCUUUAAAAUACCUUGUAAAAUUUUCCCGUAAAAAUUUUUCCCGCCAAAAAUUUUCCCGCCAAAAAUUUUUUUUUGCGAGAAAAGUGAUUCAGCAAUUUUUUUGGCGGGAAAAAUUUACAAGGUAUUUUAAAGGUUUUACGGAGUAUUUACAAGUGUUUUGUAAGGUUUUAGAAUGUAUUUUAAAAGGUUUUACAAGGUACUUAUAAAGUUUUAUAAGGUAUUUAUAACUAGUAAAACCUUAUAAAAAAACUUGUAAAAUCUUAUAACUUGUAAAACCUUAUAAAAUAGCUUGUAAAAUCUUAUAAUAUCUUAUAAAUACCUUAUAAAUACGUUGUAAAACCUUUUAAAAUACAUUGUAAAACCUUAUAAAUACCCUGUAAAAAACCUUUAAAAUACCUUGUAAAUUUUUUCCGCCAAAAAUUUAACGCCAAAAAAAUUGCGGAAUCACUUUUUCCGCAAAAAAAUUUUACAAGGUAUUUUAAAGGUUUUACAAGUUUUACGGGAAAAUUUUACAAGGUAUUUUAAAGGUUUUACAAGUUUUUACAAGUGUUUUGGCGGGAAAAAUUGCGGGAUCACUUUUCCCGCCAAAAAAAUAUUUUGUAUUUUGUGGACCUAAUUUUGUUAUAUUUCCUUAUAUAUUUGUGAUAUCUUUUAUUAAAAGAAGGAUAAUUUAGUCAUUUUGUAUAUAAAAAGGGGUAUUUUUAAAAAUGGACAGCCAAAUGAGGCAUUUUUGAAAAGGGGUAUUGAAAAAGGGGCAUUUUUGUGAGUCUCCCUUGAAUAAUUUCCUUAAUUAUUGUAUUUUAUUAAUUAAUUGUAUAAUUUCUUAAAUCUUUUUUAUUGUAUAAUUUCCUUAAUUAUCAUAUUUUAUUAGUUAAUUGUAUGAUUUCCUAAAUCCGUUUGUAAUUUGAAGGAAAAAGUAGCCUUAAAUUAGAAUUAGUAGAUGAUUUUUUAUUUUUAUUUUUAUAGAAUAAGAUACAUAUAGUUUCCUUAUAAUUAUCUUCUUUAUUUUUAAAUUUGUUUUUAUAUAACAAUAUAGUGUAGUUGCCUUAUAAUUUUUGUUCUUAAAUUUCUAUUUUUAUUUAAUAAGAUACAUAUAGUUUCCUUAUACUUAUCUUCCUUAGAUUUUUAUAAUUGUUUUUAUAUAAGAUAUAUACGUAUAAUUUCUUUCUAUUUUUUCUAAAUAAAUAAAAAGAAUUUUUUGGUUUACACGUGUUAAAACCUGAGAUCGAUAAAUUUGACAUGUGCGUAUAUUCUCCUUAUAUAUAUUUUUAAAUAAAUAAAAGGAAAUAUUUGUUUUAAUUUAAUAAGGACCCGUGCGUUGCACGGAUUACCGGUCGAAAUUGUCAUUUUUAAUUUUUAUUUUUGUAAGUUUAACUAAAAUUAUAUAAAAAUAUGAUUUAAUUUUAGAAAAUGUAGUAUUUUAAUUCUUUUUAAAAUAUAGAUUAAUUAUGCAUAAUGUGCAAUAUAGAAUACUAUAUGUAGUUUUGUUUAUUAUAUGUUACAAUGUGAUAUUUAAUAAAUUCUCCUAUGUGUAUUAUUGAAUUUUAAUAAAUUAUCUACAUCCAUCGGAAGAGUGUAUAACACUUUUUAAUUUCAAUGUGAGUAAGAUGAAAACAAAAUUGUGACAACAUGAGACAGUCUAUAUCCAAAUCAUGUAAGUUUACUUGAUAUAUAAUAUGAGAAAUCCUCAAAACAAAAAGAUAAAUUCAGAAGGAUUUAGAGAAUAUGGACUAAAUAACCUAAUACUAAAAAAAAAUUAAGAAAAUGAUAUUAACUAAACAAUGUCUCUUUGCUAUAUGGUUUUUGUCAAUUUGUGGCCCAUAUUACUCAUGAGUUCUUCGUUGUCUUUUUUUUUUUUUCCUCUCGCCGGCGAUAAGUCUCAAAUCUCUUUUUUUCACUCAUUAGAUUUCUCUUAUUUUUGCUUGAUCUCCUCUUUCUUUUUCUUUCCCUCCAUCUCGUUGGAUUUAUUCACCACCAUAUUUUUUUUCUUUUUCCAUAUCACUAUUUCUCUUUUUCGUCGGACAUCACCACCGAGACUCACUACUCUGACCCACCAGGCCACCACCACAACUGAAUUUUACACCUACCACAAUCAUCAUCACCAUCAAUAGUAAAUCUCGCUAACUCUGACCCACUAUCUUCAUCAAUAUUUACCGCCACCACCACCAAGCUUGAACCACCGUCAUCAACACCAACACCACCGUUACCGCAUCUUCCCCUCUUUCCCCAAUUGCUCUUAUUUCUCCACCUUCUUUAUCUCCUCUAACAUCGGGUCGAGCUUUUUCGACAACAACUCUAUUUUAUGUUCAUCGCCGUUCAUAAUUCUUAAUUUGUCUAUUUAUCUAUUUGUUUAUCUACAGAGGUGAGUAUUUAGAAUCCUUUUUCUUCUACAAUUAAUAAUUGAUUAUAAAAAAAUUUUAAUUAUCAUAUUAUACAAUAAGAUUGUAUAAUUUCAUAAAUGUUUUGUAAUAAUAUUUUUCUUUUAGAAUUAGUAGCUUUAAAUUAGAAUUAGUAAAUAAUUUUUUAAUUUCUAUUUUUAUUUAAUAAGAUACAUAUAGUUUCCUUAUAAUUAUCUUCUUUACUUUUAAUUUUUUUUUAUAAGAUAUAUAUGUAUAGUUGCCUUAAAAAUGUUUUUCUUAAAUUUCUAUUUUUAUUUCAUAAGAUACAUCUAGUUUCCUUAUAUUUAUCUUCUUUAGAUUUUUAGAAUUUUUUUUAUAUAAGAUAGACAUAUGUAUAAUUUCCUAUAAAUUUUUUUUGGUUUUAUACAUUGAUAAAUUUUUUAUGUGCAUAUAGUUUCCUUAUAUUUUUUAAAAAUAAAUAAAAGGAAAUUUUUGUUUUACAUGUGUCAAAAUCUGAGAUCGAUAGAUUUGUCAUGUGUCACGAUCCUAUGAGUUAUUAACUUUGAAAACCAUACUUUAUAUAAUAAGAUAUAUUUGAUACAUUAAUGGGUAACUAUUUAUUUUAUUGCACUAUUUAUUCAACUAGUUUGAACUUAAGUAACAUAAAACUUUAAUAACUAUACAAAGUUUUGUUUUUCUACCAAUACAUUAAUCAUUGGUACUAACAGUCCAACAUUGAUACUAAAGUACUAGAGAUUGACCCGCGGUACACCGCGGGUUCAUAUAUUUUUUUAUAUUUUCUUGUUUAUAAAUUUCUGCUUAAUUGUUGUAUAUGUGUAUUUUAAUGUGUUAUAAAAAAUAAAAAGGAUCGGACUUAACCCAAAAAUUGAACCCGCAGUACACCGCAUGUGUAGGUAUUUGUUUGGAUUUUUAUAUCAUAUCUUUCAAAAAGUACAUGUAAUUUUUUGAAAAUGAAUAUAGGUUUUUGUGGUUAUCAUAUAUUAUUAGUUAGCAAAGGCAUUAUAAUGUGGUUGAUAUAAGUGUUAAAUCAUGUGUUUUAUGUGUGCUAAAUUUGUUAAUUUACUAUCAUAAGAGUAUGAAAGAAAUGUAGAAAAUAAAUGAAAUUAGGGGUGUGCAAAAUAACCGAAAACUGAAAACCAAACCGAACUAAACAAAAAUAAAUGGUUUGGUUAUGUUUAAGCAUAAAAACCCAUUUUAAUAAAACCAAAACCGAUAUACAUAUGGUUUAUAUGGUUUCAAUUUUAAUAAAACCGGAAAACCGUAAAACUGUAAAAACCUGAACCGUAACCAAACCGAAUUACAUAUGGUUUCUAUAUAGUUUUAAUUUAUGUAAAACCGAAAAACCGUAAAACCAAAAAAAUCGAACCAAAACCAAACCGAAAAAACCGUACACCCACCCUUAAAUGAAAUAUUAUUUAAUUUGUUAAGAACAAUCGUAUUGUAUGGCUGUAUGCCAUUAGUUUGUAUAUAUAAAGUCAAAAAUAUGUAUAUAACUCAAGAAUACGUUUGUAUGUAUUAAUUGAUAUUAAUGUAUUUGUAAGCCAUUAGUUUGUAUCUAUUAUUAUUGAUGGCUAAUGGGCUUAGCCCAGUAAUAAUACCCAAAAUCAGAACAAACAUACUCCUUCACCAAACACGUCUUCUCAGCCGAACACCGAACACAAUCGUCUUUCUCUCACCCAACUCUCAUGUGUCAACAUGAUUCCUUCUUGAAUCAUCGCCGAUGUCACUCCACUUAUGGGUUUAUCUCCAUUUUCGUUCAGCUUUUUAAGAUAAGCCUCAAGCUUCUUUCCUCAAUUUGAUUUUUGUUUAGCUCACAUCUCCUGGAUUUUCAAUCCCGUCUGUAAUGAUUGAAAGUGAUGUCAAUUCCGAUUUUUGAAUUCUGUUAUAGAUGAUUACUCCAAUUGUUUUAUGGGCAUCGAAUUUUUACUCCGGUUUGGUUAUUAUGUUUAUAUUGAUUUCCAUUUUCUGUUGCCAUUUAGUAUUUGAUUUUGAUUAUGUUUUUCUUUUUCAUCUGAAUUUGCAGAUAUUUAACCAAGGAACAAUAGAUGCCCAGUUUCGAUUACAGGUAAGAGAUACAGAUCUAUUAGUUUUUGGAUUAUGUUGCAUUAGGUUUGUUUUCUGUCUCUGGUGGCGGGAGGUAUCUCUCGACAGACUCUUAACAAAAUUGAUGAGCCAUUCAAUGUGGAAGAAGUUGAGUCUGUACAUGUGCCUCCAACUCCAACUGAGAAGGUAUGCAUUUUGAGGAAUCUUACAUAGUGAUUAUUUGUAAAGAUAUUGCAAUGAUGUUCAUGAUCUUGGAACUUAUCUUUCGUUCUUUUAUCAGCUGCUUGUCCUGGGUGGAAAUGGUUUUGUGGGAUCACACAUAUGUAAAGAAGCUUUAGAUCGCGGCUUAUCGGUCUCUAGCCUUAGCAGGUAGCUGAUACAUAUUGUUAUGAUUUUGAGUCUUUGAUUAUAAGGAGUUAACUCAUGUCUUAGAUCAAAUGCGAUUUAGUUUAAAUUACUGGCUCACAGUUAAAGCGUCUUGUUUUCUGAAAUUUAAUAAUUUGAUAACAUAAUUAAGAAAAUACAAAUAAUUGAAAAUGAAAAACUAACAUAAGAUUUUAGAAUUUUUUAAAAAAUAAGAAAUACCAUAUCAUUCGUCUAAUAAACCUCUUGUCGAACAUGCAUCAUUGUAUGUCUCGUAGACCAACUUUGUAAAUUCUUCAAUCUUCAUCACAUGUUGGACCUUUUAGAAAACGAAAGAGGAGUUUCAAAUGUGAAUCUCUUUCCAUCUUAUUUGAAAGAAAUGUUGUACUUUGACUCUUGAUUGUUCUUUGCCUUCUUUGAAAACAUUCUUUCUCUUUGAUUCCAUGUAAAAUCUGUUUUUUUUCAUAUAUAAAGGUUAGUAAUAAGUUAUGUAGCUUUAUACUAAAUGAAAUUCAAUUAACAUAUUAUUGAGUUAGUUAAAUACCUUAAAAUAGUCCAGUAAACAGAAAAAUACAUAUUUUUUAUUUAAAAUUAUCAUUGGUUUAGGAAUAACUUUACCUCAGUCAUCUCAAAGACUCCUUUGAUGGUCUUCUUUGUUCCCUGCAAUUAUCACGUUGGUAAGAAUUUCUUAGGAAGAUAAAUAUUCUCAUUUUAAAAAUGAUACAAAUCAAUGCUAUACAAAAAUCGUUUUUGAAGAAUUUAUUUAAAUAGCUUACUUUGAUAUCAGCUAGAUCCAUGUUUUCAGGUAUGAAGAACUAUCACUUGAACUUUCCAAGCUGUCUUUUACUUAUUGACAUCACGAAGGAAAGCAAAGGAAGCAGCCAUUUCAAAGUUUGCAAGUGAUCAAAGAUUGAUGAAAAGAGGUAAUUGUGUGAUAAGUUAUCAAAUGGAGAUGAAUGAGACGUUUGUUGUGAAUAGAUGUAAUUGUUGGAUGAAUGGUAGAUGAAAAUGACGUUGAUAUCUAUAUAUACAUUUUUGGAGACAUUUAGUAAAUAAAUCCUGGAGUUAGAAUGUAUUUACAAAAAUUGCUACUGGUGGGUCGGGUUUUUGGCUGUCGGAUGACCCGAAAAUUAAGUAUCGGAUCUUUUAUUUUUCCUCCCAAAAACGACAUGAUCACGACAUUAAUUUAAUUAUUAGUAUGAAAUCUAUAUACCUUAAUCAAUCUUCCUUAAAUCUCUCCACAUUGACUACAUAAUUACUUACCAAACUUAAAUCCCCGUGAUAUUUGGUUGAAUUUAUUACUACUAAAAUAUUAAAACCAAAUUAUUAUAAUCAUCAAUCCCUUAUACAAUUGAGAAGCAUUUUUAAAAAAUAACCUUACCAUCAUGUGUGAUUAACAAAAAUGACAUGCUGACGUGUCGUUCUCACAGAGUUUCUUAAUCUAUUUAGUUAAAGACCCAAUAUUUAUUAGGAUAUUUACAGAUUUUGCAAAUAGUUUUACGUAUGUUUAUUUUUUCUAAUUAAUCUAUGAUUUUUAUUUUUCUCAAUUAGUUAAAACGAAAAUAUAAUUAAAAUAUGUAAUUAAGAGAGACAAAUAUAUACAAAAUGGAGUACCUAAUAUUUUGUGUAUCUAUUAAUAUAACAAGAUAUAUAUCAUAAAUCAUAUGAUAAACAUAAAAUUUAAUACAUAAACAAAAAAUUUCACCAAUCUUGAUAAUCAUUAAUACAUUACCGUUUAUCUAAUAAUAUAAAAUUCGAACACUUUCAAUAUUAUCAAUAUAUUAAAAUAUAUUUAAUAAUCGUUUUGUCCCGCACAUAGUGCGGGAUAUAAUCUAGUAUAUAGUGUAGGAGGGUAGGGUUUUGACUCAAGUAGUUUCGAAAAUCUUGGGGAGAAAGUUAAAAUAUCAUAAACGUUAAUGAAAAUAUAUUCUUGAGAAGAUAUCUAAAUGAAUGAUACACUCAUCUAUGGAAUGAUACACGAAUUUAAAGGAGAUAAUGAUAUUGAGUCGCAGGUUAUAGUUAGGAUUUAAGAGGAGAUAAGGUUUUUGAAAGAUUUGAUUAUUAAUUAGGCGAGAUUCAUAUUAUUGUAGUUUAAAAAUAUUCACAUUUUAUUUAGGAAAGAAAAAUGUUUUGUACUUAAUUCAUUAGCACCUAUUUAGGAAACGAUUUAUAACUAUAUAUAUUUUCCAUAUCUUUCAAUUAUGAGAAACUAAAUACGUUUUGCCUUGAAUGUAGGGAGUGUCAAUUAAGAAAGGUUCCGAUUGAGAAAAUUCGGGUCAAAAUCUCAAAUAAGGUAAGAUCCGAGAGUCUUAAUUCCGGGUCAAAUUUAAUAGAUUUCCGGGUCAAAAUUAAACAAAAUUUUGACCUGAUUAGGGACCCCAAAAACUGUUGCAAAAAUGUAUAGUAGAUAUUGACAGUGGAAGUUAAUGGAGAAUAUCCAAUAUCCAUAGCUAUAGAUAUGCAUUUAUUGUAUAGUUAAGUCUUUAGAUUUGUGUAAAUCAUAUCUUUCUUUUUAGUUAGGAUUCUAACUUGGUUCCCAAGUCUUGUAAGUUUGUGUAUAUUCGAGCAUUGAGGUCAAGAAGAAUACACAAAAACAUUCUCAAAACGAUUAUAUCUUUCUUAUUAGAAGUCUCAGACGAACACAGAUGGAAUACAUUAAUCAAUAGUCAAUACAAAUAGUUCAAUAUUGAUACAUAGUAAAAUCUACUUAAACAUGUAAACAUCUUAUUGCAAAUAACAUAUAAUCAAAUAGUAUAUAGACACAUAAUCAUGUGCACAAAAACAUACAAUCUAUGUUCAUGAAUGAUAUAACAUCUUAAGAUCUAUAAAAUAAAAUCUCUCAUAAAGUUAUCCAGUACAUUUUAUAUUUUCGAAACUAAAUAUAUGAAACAUGAUAAUAGAUGAAACCAAAAUAUAAUUAUAUAACUCACUACAAGAUCUUUUAUAUGAUUACUACAAAUCAACCCAAACCGAGUUAAAUUGCUAUGACCACCUUUUAAUUUUACAAUAAACAAAAAUAUUUACAAAAAGAUAGAAAUAAACUAAAACUGAAAACAUAACAUCAAAAGGUACUUAUUUGGUCUUUAAAACCAUAUCGCGUUAGCCUAACUAUCUUCAUUGCCUUAUUUGUUUACAUAACAAAUGUUGGGUUAUAGAUGAUUUAGCUACUCCUUCCGUUUCGUUUUAGUUGUCGUUUAAGGUUUUUUCACAUAAAUUAAGAAAAUCAUUAAAUUUUUUGUUUUACCCUUUAUUAAUAUAUCUUAUAAAUUUUUUCAUUGGCCAAAACAUUAAAACAAUAGGGAUAAUACUGGAAUUUUUACCAAACAUUUGCAUUAAAAACCUAAAACGAUAACUAUUACGAAACAAAAUUUAAGUCCUAAAAUGACAACUAAAAUGAAACGGAGGGACUAUAUUAUAAAAGCUUUACUAACACUAAAACAUAACACUCCAAACAUAUUAACUACUUAUCAUAAAAACUUAAAAUUGCAUCAAAUUUAUUUAUAAAUAACCUUACAAUACUUGAAAUUUAACAAAAUUAAUAUGUUUAUUCAUAAAAGUAGAUAAAACAAUUAUACUUUAAUUAGUUUGAUCUCAAUACCAAUUCCCUCUUCGAAAAACAAAAGAAAUCAUGAGAAAAACUAACUAAAUCAUAUGUUCUUGAUAGCUAUUAUAUGUUUAAUGGCGGAUCCAAAAGUUAUUUUCACAUGGGGUACAAUUAGGCAUGGACAUAAAAACCAAAAUCUAAAAAUAUUCGGUUAUGAAAUCAAACCUAAUUGUAAAAAAAUCCUAACGGAUAAUAAAUGUUUCUAUCUGAAUUAUCCAAACCAAACCAAAAAUCAAACAAUAUACCCAAACACCCGACAUAACCUAGAUGUCUGAAAAUUAUUAGUUAUAUUUGUCAAAAUUAUACAACUUUUUGAAAAUUUUACCAAAUUCUAUUAUAAUUGAACAAUCUUUAAUUUUUUUUUUGAAAACCGAUCCAAAUUUAAAACCACCCAAACCGAAACCGAACCAAAUAGUCAUAAAACCCGAACGGAUAAUAAACUCUUCUAUUUGAGUUAUAAAUAUCUGAAAAAAUAUGAACCAAAUCCGAUCUGAAACCCAUAUGCACAAGCUUAGACUCAACCUUAAUGAAUUUAAAUAUUCUUCAGAAAUUAUGUUAACAUGAGGCAUAACCUUAAAGUUUUAUUAAUUUUAAUACAUAUAUUUCAAAAAUUAAUUAUGGAGCACUUGUCCUACCUAUAUGCUUGCAAUCUCCACUGUAUAUGUUACUUUGCUUAACUUAAUUUUCUACAAGUUUAUUUAUAAAUAGCUAGAUUUACACACAUACAUCACUCUCAUUAUGUGGUAACUAGGUGUAUAUAGCCACGCUUGUUGCAAAAUUAGUUUUUAUAUAAAUAAAUUAAAAUUUUCCAAAAAAUAUUAAAAGAAAAUUAUUUUUUUUUCCUAUUUGAUUUUUGUAUAUUGGUACACAGACUAAUUCUUCACUUGGUUUAGAUAAGAGGUUCUUCGGCCAUUCCGAAUAGGAAGUUCUCUAGCCAAAUUUUAUAGAUUAUUUCUCUACACAGCCAUCGAAGUUCAUGUGUUAUCAAUGUAUAUAAUUUACUUUGCUUUCAUUUCAUCAUGAUUUUUGUUAUUUUUUUUUAUUCUAGUAGUAUUUUAUUACUAGUAGAAUUUCUGUUAAAUAAUGUGAAUUUGUAGAUUCAAGAUAAUCUUUGUGAUUUUUUCUUACAUGAACUUAUAAAUGCUAGCGAGAGAGAUAGCAUUUUAAGAGGUCUUAAAUAAGAUAAAAUUAAUUUAUACUAUGUUAUUCCAACUCUUUCAGUAAGUAGAGAUAAUUUAGUUUAGUAUUGCACCAUUUUUUAUAAACUAUGUUAAAAAAUAAAACAUACAAUAAGGAAGAAAAUUAAAUUGUAGGUGAGUUAUGCUUGUGAGAUUAAUUUGAUAAUGAAAAAACUUAAUUCAUAGUAUGCAACUAUGAGGAGAAACAAAGGAAUUGAAAUCAAAUUUAAAAAUUAAAAUAGUGAUGAUAUAUCGGUAGACUAGUUAACCAAGUUUGUUAUGUCUCACAGUAAGCUUAUCUUCCUAACAUCUACAAAAUUAUGUUUUCGUCAACAAAAACUAUGCUUUCUUAGGAGUAUUUCUUUUAAAUUAGCAAGAAAAAUAUGUUUAUAAAUAAAAUUUGUGAAUACUAGUAAUUUAUCCAUUUUAUGAAUUUUAUAGUUUAUUAUUUUAGGAGAUUUUAAUUUCUCUGCUUGUAUCUAAUGCUAAUUUGUAUAACAAAUAUUUCACAAAACGAUGUUCAAUUGAUUUAUUUACUAAAUUUUGUUUUUGCAAGAUAAAAAAAAAACUUAUUCGAUCAAGACAUGUUUUUUUUUGGAUCAAUUUCAUUAAACCGAUCACAUAUUGGUUUGUGAUAGUCAAAAAGUUAUAAAAACAUAUAUCACGUAAAUAUAACAUUUGAUCACACAUUAUACUUUGACAUAAAAAAAAAAGGAAGAUCAAACGUUAUAUAUACUAUUCAUGUAAUAAAUUUUUUGAAACUCGCCCCAGCUUCUCAUUACAAUUUGUAUACUAGGAUAUGAUCCGCGGUAUACCGCGGGUUAAAAUAUUUUUAUUAUUUAUUAGUUAUGUAUAAUUUUGGUUGUUAUUUGUGUUGAUAUAUAAUUCUUUAGAUCGGUUGUGUAUGACUUAUAGUGAGUCUUAAAUUUACCAUAUUAAUAAAUCUAAUAUUUUGUUGUCUUCUAUAUGGUUUACUUAAGAAUUUUGGUUAGGAUUUAACCCGUGGUGUUAUGUGUUUCUUUCUAUAUAAUAAUUCACUAUUAAUUAAGUUUUGAAAUUUCAAUUCAAAAAAAAAAAAAUCAUAUAGGUGUAUUGUUUGGUCAUUGCUGCAACUACUUUGGACACAGAAUUAAGUUAUAGAUGUAUCAUUAUCUUAUUUGCCUAAGUUAUAGACACAUAAUUACAUAUUUUUUGGUAUCAUGUGAUCAAAAUAAGGAGAUUUACAAUUUCAAUAUAAUGUUAUUUUAAUUUACAAACACAAAAUCUUACUAUUUUAGCUAUUGUAUAAUAGUGAAAAUAAUGUAUAAAGAAAGUCAGGGUUGGCAUUAAUGUUAAUAUACUCGGAAGAUAGUGUUUUAUAUUUUAGAUUAUUAAUUUGUUAAAAAAAAAACAGAAACCUAAAUCGUAAAAGAAUAGAAGAAAACUCUCUUUUCUCUUCUUGACCUGAAAAAAAAAAAAAACACAACUCUAUCAUCAAUCUCGAUCUCUUUCAAUUGUCUUCCUAUAUCUUAGAUUAUCAUCUGCAAUUAAACCCGAGAGCUGAGAAAUUAACUUAAAGAGAUUCUAAUUUGCGAGUAACUCGAAAAAAAUGUCAGAUCCAAUUGCCAAAGAGAGAGAGCCGACAACAACAGUUCGUCUCCAAUUAUCAAAAUCUGUUUAGUCGUAGAGGUGAUUGAGAAAUUAAGGAAGAACGAUUCAAACCUAUGCUCGGCGUGAACGACAGAUCCAAUUGGCCAACAAAUUAAAGAGACCCGAGUACAACGUUUCGAAUCGGAAUCCAAAUAUGUGGAGUCACAGAGGUAAGAGAAUUUAAUUGUUCUUCAUGUAGUAAUCAUCGAUUUUUUGAACAUCAAACUCAAAAAUUGCUUGUAAAUAGGAGGUUGAUAUUGAAUAAGAGGUUGAUAUUGAAAAAAGAUUUCUCUAUUUGCCAAUGUUCUAUCUUAACAUUUUGCUUUAUCGUCUUUUCUAAUACUCCAUAAUCAUCGUAGAUUGAUGUCCACUGUCUAGAAAUGGUGGAUACUUAUGAUAUAGAUUUAUAUAAAUUCAAGUAGUGUGUUUAUUAUCCGAUUUCAGAAAUUCAUCUGCACACAACUGCACAUAAUUCAUGUAGAAAUCCAGUUUUUAAGAUUCGAGACAAUAUAUCUUUCUCCAUAGAAGCUGUUACUUGAACCGAAAGUUUAUAAGAUAUAACCUCUUGAUUUUGUAAGAAAUUUUGUAAAACACAAUAUAAACAAUCGUCCAAGGUUAACAAAUUAUUGUGUUUUAGAUUAGAUAUAAGAACUUAACGGUUUUGUCCUUUUUAUAUAGAUUUUAUAGUUAAUAUAUUCUUAUUUCUGAUUUCCACGGAUUCUUAAUUAGAAAAUAUAUAUUUCUAAAUGAAACUACCAUCUACUCUUACAAAAUAAGAGUGAUACACAAUCAAAGAUUAAUUACAUUCUUGUCAAACGAUUUUUGUAUAUUUGAUUGAUUGCAAUAAUGGUUUUAGGACCUUAUAUCAUUUUGUUUACAUUGAUCUACAUUAAUCAUAUGGUUCUCUUUGCAGAGGAUGCUAAACACGAUUUUUUUCUCAAUGAAUUUCAAAGAUGGAAGUCUGCUAUAAUAUCUUCAAAAAUCAUCCUAAGGUUAGUUGUAUAUCUUGCUAUGUUGAUUUUGUUUUAUCUACUAAUACUAAGUUAUUUUGUUUUCUUCAUUACACAGGAUGACUUUGCUAAUACUCUAAAAGAUUUUAGUAUGCUAGAGUAUGACACCAAGAUUUAACAGGUUAGUAAAUAUAUUAAGAUUAACUACUCUUUUCAUAAAAUCGACAUUAAAUCGUUUGCAUUAGCAAAAGAAGGCUCCAAAUGUGGGGAAAAUAGUGUAUUGAAUAACCAAUUAGAUUGCUACAAAAACCAAACUUAUUUCUAACAUUGUAAACCAAAUAACCGGUAACUGGAAAACUUUGAUAGGUCUGAGAUAUAAAAGAAAAUUAAACAAACCAAUAAAAAUAUGAAACUUCAACUCCAAAACAUAACACCAAUUCACUCCUCAAUCUUGACCUUAACACCAAACAACUUCUUUGAGUCGACUUUCUUCUCCGUAAUGUUCACAUCUUCUUUAUCCUCACCAUCAUUGAUUUUAGGAACCUAACAAAACGAGAACAACAAAAAAUUACCAAAUGUGUUAUUAGCUUGUUGAUUUGGUCAAGCACAUCUAAAAAAAUAAAAACAAAAUUAUUUAGUGUAUAUGUAGUUCAGCUAGUAAUCUAUUUUAACACUAAUGUCGACAAUAACCAUAAUUAAACUUAAAAAUACUUACCAAUCAACAUGUGAGGAUUAAGAUCACCACUUAAAAAAUUUUGAAUCUUAGCUAAGGAUAAACAGGUGGAAUCUGAUUUAGGGUCAUUGUUACGACAGUUCCAUUUAGAAAACCAUCUUGUAGAGAUGAUUGGUUGGUCAGAAUUGUGCACUUGUAUGAGUAGAUCAAAGGUCGCAAUGAAUCUCCAUUCACCAAGCGGUUGAUGAUUCACCUAACGUAUGGAUCUUAGCACUCUAAACUAAAAAAGAAAAACAAAAGCUAUUAGAGAUGAAACAUGAAACAAAGAAAACAGAAUUAGUAAUGUUAAUAUAAAGGAGCAAGUAAUAACCUUGUAUCGUGCUUGGUGAGAUUAGAUGUUACGAAUAAGGUUGUAUUUAUAGUGUUUUGAGAAGGUGUAGGGUUUUGGUGUAGUUAAUAGAGCAAAUAUUUGAUAUCUUUAGAAAUCUUUAAAUAGUCACAUACAAAGAAUAUGCUACAUUGAUACUUAAUCAAAUAAGGAUAAAAUCAAUUAGUUAUGAGACAUUUCCAAAUCUUUUAGUUGGAUUGAAUAUCUAAUUUAUAUAGUUUAUUUUAUUUAGGAAACAAAUAUUAUUUGAAAUAAACUCAUUAGCACUUUAAUAGGAAACCAUUUGUACCAGAAAAGAUUUAUUAGUUAUAAAUACAUUUACGUUUGAUAUCUUUCUAAAAUUAAUUGAUUAUUUUCGUAGGAUACACUUAUAUACUCCCGAAAUCUUUGCUAGUGUUUUUGGAAAGUCUCAUAAGUAGAAGUGUAUUGAUUAAUGCAAAUCUUUUAGACAUUGUUAGGAUUUGGUUGUUUAGGGAAGUAUUGAUAGCUAAUAUUUGGCCGAAUUCCUUGCAUUUUUUUUGGCAAGUAUCAUUUAAUCGGAUCCGAGAGUUUUAAUGUGUAUUUGAGUCGGGUCAAAAAAAAAUCCGGGUCAAAAUCUUGUUAAAAACCCGACCCGAUUGGAAAUGAGCAAAUUUGUACUUCAAAAAUGUUAAGUAGAUUGAUUAGUGAUCACAUAAAUGCAAAUAUGUUUUUACAACGAUAACAAUUUGUAGCAAAAUUUUGCAAUAAAUUAAUACAAAGUUGUAAUGAAUAAAAAAUUGUAACUUUUUUAAAAAUGUGUAUUUAGACAUAUAAAUACAGAUUGUAGCAAAAAAAAAAAUCAUAGUAUUUUAAACUAACACCAAUCAAAAGCCAUAAAAUAAGUUGACAAAAAUACAAGCUAACAAAAGUUGAACACCAAAUAUUUGCAGCUCGUACUUAUAUCAUUGUUCUUUCACCACUGCUAUCUUCCCAACUUGCAUAAUUGAUCUUCCUCGACCUAAUGGAAUCUCUCCAGAAAGCUAUCCAUGAGACUUAUUGAUUAUCUUUUACUGCUUUUCAACUACAAAGGACCACACAUAUGAUGGUUUUGUAAAUCAUUGUUAUUGCUUUUAUUUUAGAGGAAAAGUAUGAAAAACCGAUCUUCCACCAGUGAUUGUACAUUUCAGAAUAUGAGCACAUUUUUUAAUGUAUCGUUAUGUCUCAUGGACGAACCAUCCUCUGAAGUGAUCCCAUUUGUUUAGAAAACAUUUACAAAACAGAACAUAAUAAGCUUCACACUAGGUAAGAAAAUAUGCAAUUUACAAAUGUAAGUCUCGCAUAGACGCAUAUUAUUUUGGAUUGUUUGCCACGCCCUAUGAAAAACUUGGUUGACUCAAUUUUGAAGUUGACAGCCUUGAGUUUGACACCGUCCACAACAACACAAAUGUAUUUAACAUCUAACUCUUUAAGAGCCACCUUCUCAUGCAUUUUAUAAAAUCAAUCAUUAUCAUCUUCAAUGGAGGGUUCAGUUCAUGAACACGAUGAUCAAUUGAUUUAUUUACUAAAUUUUAUUUUUGCAAGGUAAAAAGAAAACAUUAUCGAAUCAAGACUUUUUUUGUUUUGUUUUGGGAUCAAUUUCAUAAAACCAAUCACAUAUUGAUUUGUGAUAUUCAAAAAGUUCUAAGAAAAAAACAUAUAUCAUGCAAAACUAUAUAUAUAUAAGCUGAAAGAGAAAAAUGACGGAAAAAAAGAAAAAAAAAAAAGCUGAAAGAGAAACAAGAAAAGGAGUAAUAAACAUAAAACUAACGAAUAUAGGUAAGUUUUUUUGUCUGUACAAGUUAAUAAUUGCACCAAUAUUUCCAUUCAAAUAUUUGUUUUCUAUCUCAUUAGUAUCACUAAAACCAUAAGUUAAGCAUUUGAGAUCUGAAUUUUUCAUCAUGUCAUUGCCAUCAAAACAUAUUUACAACUAGUAUAAAAAUUUAGACAUUUGUUGUAAACUCAAAUGCGUACAAAAAAUAAAAGAAAGGUUCAAGAAGAUUUUUUUAUGACGAUAUUUUGAAAAGUUUUGAAUCCUAACAUUACAUUAAAUAUACUUAGUAAUUUAAAACAUAUUGGUUGAGCAUAAUCUUUAUGAUCAUUACUGUUUAUGUUUUCAUAGAAUAAAAAUUUUGUUGAUAUCUCUAAAUAUAUAGCCUACUAUUUGUGGUAGUAUUGACGCUAUAUCGCAGUGUAUUGCAUAUUGUUAAUUAUAAAAUAUCUAAAUAUAGCGAAUAAUAUUUUGUUUUACUGUUUAGCAGGUUCUAAAAACAUGUUUUUGAAAUUUGAAGAAAUAUUUUUGGUUGGUAUUCUAUGUAUCAUAAACAAAAUUAUGAUUAAAUGACGAGUUUACUAAAAUACACUACAAGAAAACAUGCCUUUUGCGACCCCCAAUAGAGUUUUUAAACGGUCGCUAAUUGCUGUUUUGCGACUUCUUUGCGACUGCACAAGUUGGUCGCUAAAAAACGGUCGCUAAUUACAAUGGUCGCACUGUCGUCGCAAAUAAGCGACUCCUUUAAGACUGUAUCAUUUAGUCGUAUUUUAAAGACUAAAUUGUGGCAGGUAAUUAUAGUCAUAUAUUACAGACUAAAUUGUGACAUAUUAGAGAUUUCUAAAAAAUAGAUAAAAAAAAAUUAAAAUUAAAAUUAAAAUUUUCAAAUAAAAAAUGAAAAUUAAAAUAAUUUUAUAUAUGUAUAUAUAUAUAUAUAUAUAUAUAUAUAUAUAUUUCGUGACAGAAUUUUUUAAUCAAAAUAAUAUAUAUUGAUAUUAAUAACCAACCCAAACCGGUAAUUGGUUACGAGCUACAGAAUUGAAUUGGUUACAAAAUGCCGGUUGAACCGGACGCUAAAAUCAACAAAAAAAAAAACCUAAUUCAUCUCAGCCGCCGCCAUAGAUUCCGUUCGCUCGCCGACGAGCCUCAGUUUCCGGCUACACUCAACUCGCGGCACAAGCCUUUUGCUCCGCCACUGUCUCUUUAGUACUCUUCUUCUGUCGCCGGAUUUCUUUUUCUGUCUUUUGUGGUGGCUAGGAGGGAAGUUCGGUUUCAGGCGGGAUCGAGGGUUUCGUUGGGCAACAGAUCGAGAUCUGGUUCUGUUUGCUUCGUGGUGGUGGUCAAAUCUCCGUCUUCAACGACCCUUCUCCCUUCUUCUUCUCGAUUUGAUGAUGACGACCACACCAUUUCUUCUACCGAUAAGCCUCUCCUCUCCGUCGUCUGGUGGUGGGUUAACUGGUUGGUAUCAUAAUAGAUGGUGUUGGAUCAUCAAUAACUGGUUUAGAGAUUGAUGAGGAGAAGAGGUGACGAAGGGCAAAAGAGGGGAAGGG
rnacentral:lncRNA from 1 species